CUAGGACGGGUUGGGUGGGUGGGGGAAAGAGGACAGCAGAGGUUUCCCCAGUUGAGCAAGCUAACUCCAAAUUGUGUGUUUCAUUUCUUUUCAUGACCGGUGGUGCCAUGCAUUUCAGUUCUUCCACAAAUGAACAUUACUUGUUCAACUGGACUACUUUUGUUUUGGGCGGUGAGGGGUACUAAGACCGCAAGAGACUUUUGACCACUUUCCUUGGUUUUAUGACCAACCAUUUCUGGUUUAACUAAUCCUGAUCCAUCCUCUAGUUAGGCAGAUACAGAUUUUACACCUUUUUUUUUCCUUUUUCCUUUUCAAUUUCUUUUCUUGGAGGGACUAUAGAAAAACGUCCCUGAUACAUAUAUUAUGUGUGCGUGGUGACAGUAGUAGUGUCUCAUUAGGGGAAACAGCAAAAUCAUUAUGGGAAAUUGGACUGGUCAUAUAUCUUUUACCCCUCCUACUCCUGCCCGAUGCCUAGUCCCCUUGUUUCUUGGGUCUAACAUCUCAAAACUUAUAAUUAAGCAAGCAAUAAAUAGUACUUACAUGAAUUUUUUUUUUUGGUUUAAAAAAAAAAAAAAAGAAAGGAUAUGUGGGAUUAGCGUACCAUGUGAUUGUGAUGGUUAAAAUAGGAAUGAUGAAGUCUGGGGUUGUAGGAGUGAAAUUGGUAGUGGGGUUGAUCCUGGGUCCAUGUCGAUGAAGCCUCAGGUGUUGUGGGUGGCUCGGAGGAGGUCUCGGAAUCAUGAUCUGGUUGCUGCUGGCAUUCUAGGUUUACACCAAACAACCUCAGUCUCUUGGAGUUGGCACUUGCUGCUGCUGUUGUCUGACUCUGCAACACUGCUGCUGCUAUAAUCAUAACACGUGCGCUCAUUAGCAUCUGCUAGUACUAGGGUUAUACUCAUUUCACUCACUCCAGAUAAAAUGAACUCUCUCUCCCUCUCUGACGCUGGGUGGGGAGACAAAGUUGAAAAAACAAUACAUGUUGUAUAAGCAUAUACAGUAGUGCAAUGGCAAUAAAGACACAGAGUAGAAUUGUGCAAGAGUACCAUCUUCAUUUCAGUUACUGCAAUGUGACAAAACUCGGGUUCUCUUGUCAUCAGCCAAACCCAGACUACAUCUGAAUACUGACGACCAUCUAACUUAUAAUAUGUCUAACGUUACAAAACUUGAAUUGCGUAGACAUCACGGGUCAUAUUCGUCGUAUAUCAUUGGGAAAAAUAAUCACCCCACCUUAUUAUUACCCAUAUAACUAGUCAACACAUAGACUCGUAUGCCAGAUGGAAAUGGAGUCAAGAAGAAGAAAAUGUGGUAAUGAAAAACAUGUCAAUCUCACGCCCCUUUAACGUGCGCCUGAUAAAACCCAAGGGGCACAAAAAUCCAUGGCUAAAAUAUGCAUGUCUACACAUGGUAGUUAAUGCAGAGAAGAAAGAAACAAAAAGAGAAGAUAGGGUUCUAAUUCUAAUUGUGAAAAUGCGGGUAGUAGGAAAAUGAUACCUGCACGAAGACAGUCGGGUUGGUAUGGGAGGGCAGGCCCAUGACCAUGACCAUGACCAUCAUCAUGGUACUGCUGCAGCUGUUGUGGAUAAGGAUGAUGCCCGGAUGGAAAGUACACCCGGGUCCACCCACCUCCACCUCCACCUCCUCCGCCGCCCGACGUAGCUGGCUGAGCUUGAGCGGCUCCAGUACCCUCUUGACCACCUUGGCUUGGACCACCUGCUCUCCUUUUCCUCCACCCUAUAAAAAGCCGGUCACCGUCUAGACGGUGCCGUUCGAACAGAACUACAUCCCCCGCAUCCAGCCGUUUCUCUUUCACGAAACGGCUCCAGCCCUUGGUCAAUACGUAGCUCUGGCUGCUGUUCCAAUAAGAAUAUCGAAACCGCCACCCCUUGCCGGACUCGUCCUCGAAACUCAGUAACAGCCCUUUCUCUCCUCCCGCCGAGUCAUUGUUGCCGCCGCCGCUGAGAGGAAAAUAUUUCUCGGCGUGUUGCUUCGGGAUGACGAGGCGGUUGAGCUUGCCGACGUCACUCGGGGUCAAUGGCUUCUCGAACAAGGGCUCUUUGGGUACUAUUUCCUUGUCUUCCUCUUGUUUGGUGAUGAUGCGGGCGUUGCUUUCCCUCUCAUCCUCAAUGGCAGUAGCUUCAUCCUCCUCUUCGUUGUUUAGGUCGAAGCUGAAAGCUGCCGAAUUAUGCGGACUGUGGGCGGAGAUUGGCCGGUAGAGGUGGGAAUUGGGCCAAAAGGCGGCUGCGGUGGUGGUGGUGGUGGGCCUGGAGGGUGGAGUUUUUGCGGAGGAGGGUUCCAUGGUAUGGUGGUAGUGAUGUUGUUGUUGAGGCCACCGGUAGUGUGUUUCUGGGAGGUCCGAAGAGAAGUGGUUGAUGGACAUCACGAAGAUCGAUAAAUUUUAAAAUAGAAGGCGAGAAGAAAGGAGAGAAUGUGUUAUGAUUUUGUGAAAAUCUUUGUAGUAGUAGGAGCAAGGCGGUGAUGGAUGAUGCUAAGCAGAAGUAAUGGGACUGAGAGAGAGAGAGAGAGAGAGGGUGGGUGUUUUGGGUUCGUGAGGGGGGACGCCGAGAGGCGUGAUUUGAUUAUGGUUGGUUUUUGAUGUGGGAACUAUUCUUUCUAUAGUAUUUGAAGUACCCCCCAACCCCAAGAGAUAUACUACAAUACUGUACUCCCAACUACUAAGUGACACUACUAGUACUGCGUGUUUUUGUGUGUUUGUUGUGUGUGUGAGUGUGAAUACGAGAGAGAGAGAGAGGGGGGGGGGCUUGGGAUGCACUUGGGAUGGGAUUGUUGGGGGGGGAGGAAUAUCAUAUCGUCGUCGUCGUCGUCCGGUCGUCGUCAUCAUCAUCAUCAUGGUAAUUCAUGUACAUGCGUAUGCAGAAGUACGAGAGUACUUUUCAAGGUUUUGCGUGAUGAGAAAAUCAUCAAUCAUUAUAUUCAGUGCAAAAUUUAUAUGGUCGGUACUUUUGCCGAUUCAGUAUUAUAAGUAUUAGUAAGAUUUAAUAAGAAGAAGAGCAUCAGGAUGGAAAAACGGGACUACUGAAAUUGGCAGCAGAACACGUAGCGCGGUUGAUGAAUCUUUGAGAAAGAAGAGAGAGAGAUUCUCCACUACCGUACCACCACCCCAGGGGUGAACAAUAAUAAAUACUACAUUAUUACAUCAUCGAGUCUUGAGAAAAAGGAGGGGAAAAAAAAAUAUAUAUACUGUAUGAUGCUAAUAAGUAAUAACACACACACCCAUGUUACCAUGCUGAUGGAUUGAUUGGUGGUGGGUCUUGUGACUUUCAAAGUCCUCAGUUUCUUAACCAGCUCACACGAGUCUACUACACAUUACCGUGACUGAAGUCUACCCAUUAAUUCCAAUAUUGCAAUCCAAAAAAUCAAUCCAAUGGCGGUGGCCUCAACCCUUCUCCUCCUACUUUUCAUAUUCAUUUUCCCUAAAGUUGAUGUACCUCCCUUAGUAUUAGGUUGACAAUAACAAUAAUAGUAUUUGUAUUGUGGAGCCGGGAUUUAUUUUUACUGGUAUGACAGGUGACCAGCUAGACAGCUUGUAGCUAGUAGUAAUCCCUCCAGAAUACUACUGCUUUGAUAGUCCUGAUUCUUUUUUCGCACAGUUUAAUAAAAAGUAGUUAACUUAAUUUGUUGAAACAAUCAAUUUAGAUAGCUAUUUUUUUUUCUAAAAUACCCUCACAUUAGUUAGACUACAACUUUAUGGGAACUUGAAUUGAUAGAAAAACAAAAAAAAAAAAAAGAAUCGACUCUCAUUAAAUAGGGUAGGUUUGUAGUAACAACAACUUACAUUGAAUAAGGGUAUUUUACGAAAAUUAAAAUACAACUAUAUUUUUCAAUUGGAAAGUGGACUACAAUUUGGAACAGACGAAAAAGGAAAACGGGACUAUCAAAGUGGGACGGAGGAGGAGGGAGUGUAUAAGAUUGGAAAGUGAUUUCAGUUUUAUGACCCUUUGUCAUGUAAAAGCUGCAAGUGGAAAUGCCAUCUCCAUCGGUUUUACUUAAAUUAGUCCUAGGUUGACGAAAUAUCUCCCCAACCAAAAAACCUUAAAACAACCCUGCCUUUCUUAAAUCAAGGAAUUAAGCGAUUGCACGGUGACUUUACAUCAUUGUUUAUUACGUGUGCUGGAAUUCUACGAAAUUGAGAGAUGUGGAUGGAUAAUAUCAUCAUCUCUUCCACUCCGUUAGCUGAAAUGAAAAUUUUUAACAUCUGUUGGACAAUUCAGACUUUUAGGUGAAGAUUGAAAGAAUUGGUAGUGGUAAACGUAGGGAGGGAUUGCAGAAAGAAGCUGGAGGCGUAAUUCAGCUCACGUGCAUGACAGCAGAAUUAUUGAUGAUGUUUGGCCAGUCCUAGUUCAUCAUCAUUCAUUCAUAUAUAUAUAUAUACACGAUCGAGCAGAGCAAGAAAAGAAUAGUAAUAUUUGCGGGAGGGUCUGAUUCUGAUCUAAACACCAGACAUGGAAUUCCAGUAAGCACAGGGAUGAGAUAAGAUUUGUCCAAUAGGAAAACCAGUACAACUGCUUGCUUAGACUUCUUCUGGUUUCAUUAAUUUCUAUUAUUAUUAUUAUGAUUAUUCUUCUUCUUCUUCUUCUUCUGCAAUCGUGUUUCAAUCCUCUCCUCAUGUCAUACAAUCGUACGCGUACAACCCACCCCUCCUCUUCCGUCCCUCUCGAUCUCACACAUUAAUAAUAAUCACGCUCUCUAGCUACUUACACACAAUACAGCAGCAUCUCUGUGUCCCUAUCUCAUGUUUUAUGUUCCAUAUUCAAUUCGGCUGUGGCCAUAUUUUGCAUAUAUCUUCUGUGCGUUUUGUUCCAAGUAUCAGACAAAAGCCCCACCUCUUUUUCCAGGUAGAUGCAGACACCCUUUUCUUCUCACAAAAAGGUUGGACUGACUGACUGACGGACUGACUAGUUUUUUUUUAUUUACUACGUACCGCUACUACUACUAUCGUAUAUCAUAUUGAUUGAUCAAUUAAUAAUAAUAAUCAUAUCAUAAUUAAUUAGUGGAGGUCGUUGCGCCAUCUUAUGCUGCCUUGCAUCUGAUCAUAUAUAUAUAUAUAUGUCUAUCUACAAUUUGCUUUGCUCAUCUCACUCCAGCCCAUGACACAUCCUCAUCAAAUAUAAAUUAUAUUCACGUCACAUGCGACUACUGGAUAUACUUCCCAUUCCCCCUCCUCCGUUCACCUAAGUUUCAUGUAUCACGCCAAUAGCCAAAGUGAAACUGUUGAUGUUUAAGAAUUCAAUACUACCAGUUGGUUUCAUUAUGCACUGACAGUUCAAUUCAGAACUAAAAAGGUCUAGUUGCUUUGUAGGGGAAUCUAGCUAGCAUGUUAUUAUCGGAGAGUUAAUUUCUGUCAUUUCUUUUCUUUUUUAUGUUCACACGCUAGAAGAGAAGAGAUUGACUCAUCAUGCAUGAUGAGGUAGACAACUAAUUAACUAGUGUAUAUCGAUCGAUAAUGCAAUUAUCAGUAACGUAACACAAUCCAUCAUGCAUAGUUAUGCAUUAAAAUGGCAUGUUGAGUCAUGCAGUUCGAGUAUUUGAUAGGUGAAUUGAAUUGCACAAGAAGAAGAAUAGGAAUGUAGAAACUCAUCGUCAUUGUCAACUGUCAAGUUUUAGUUACGUAAUUAAAACCUGUUGGACCAAAAAUAACAUGCCGCAGCUGUUGUAUAUGCUGAAUACAUAUCUAGUUUUCUGCUAGUCAAGUUUAUUCGUAUAUGGUCCCGGAGCGAGCGCAAAAUAAUACAAUUGACCGUUCUUGUUUCUAAUAGCAGUGUAUUAUUUAACAUAUAUACUUCUUGUUCCCAACUUAAACCCACCUGCAUUUUCUUUCUUUAUAAUACAUCGCCAGUCUCUGCCACUUUCUAUAUAUGAAGGGGCCUGGGAACACGUGAAGGUAUAAUGACCAAGUUUUUCAAGACAAUAUUCAUGAUUGAGCUAUUUUGUAGCAUAAGAAAUCCAAUUGUUUAUGACUUUGAGACAGACCUCUGCAGACGGCAUCAGUUCAUGUAUGAUUUAACAGACCUCACUCCCCAAAACCCAACCCUUAGACCAAGAACAAUGCACCAUAAUCCAAACCCCCUGAUGCCGAUCUCCAUUAUCUCAAGCUUCAUGGAUAUAUAUAUAUAUAUAUAAUUGAAUAAUUCCCAAUUGUUAAGUUGUUGGUGAAGAAAUCCUUCCCCUUGAGCAUGAUUACGUACGUAUGGAUUAUGGAAUCAAGUAAUUCAUGUAUUUGCGUUUUCUAAUUGCCCGGGUUGUAUUUAAUUAAUCAACUAUGGCGUUCGUUGAAUUAGGAAACGAUACAAUAAAUGUGCAGUUGCUACCUAAUCGAGACAUGACUCCAGUAUUGGGAUUAUAAUCUGCUGACAAAGUUGUUUAUUUCCUGUCUCCAUGUUCUCGAGCUAUUUAGACUUCACUUGCUGGAAAGGUCAAUCCAUUCCACUUUGACGAUCUUUGGCUGUUUAUUGGUGUCCCCUUUGUCCGUUGAUUCUGACUAAUUGAUGGUUUAAAUAGUAGAAGUGAUCAACCGACGAAUAAUAUAUAGCAUAAACAAUUUAUGUUUUCUGAUUAAACUGCAAAAGAUCAUUUGAUUGAAUUUUCGGACAACCAGUAGCCACAAUUUUCAAACGUAGGUCUUACUUCUCUUUGGGGGGCGGGGGGGGGGGGCAAUAAUUGAAGAAGGAAUCAAAAGAUGCAUAAUGGACGUCCUAAUUCUGGGGAAUUUUUCUGGCACCUUUGGAUGUUCAGAUGGCUUCCAAAUGUCAUUAUUGUGAUAUAUUUAAAGCGAAGAUUAGCAACCCAAAAAAAGAAAAAAAAAAAAGUGAUGGUCAUCAUAAAAUAAAAUCCUCCCGUUGAAUUUUCUGUUCUUGCAUUUCUGGUCGUCGGGUCGGGGUAGGGGACCUCUUAUAUCAUUUAUCAAAGCAAAUUGGGAUCCAUAUACAUGUCUUGAGAUUGGACCAUACAACCUGUUCACACACAGUCAUGGAGCCGUUAUAUUAGACUCUGAAAUCUAGGUGGGCCUAAAUCUAUUUGUCAUCAGGAGAGGAGAUGUGCCUAAUUAGAAAGGGGAUGUGGAAAAAAGGAAGGAAAGAAUGGUUAAAAACCAGUCUUGCUCCGCAAAGGUACAAAAAUUAACCAAGGAACCGUGUCAACUUUCCCUUCUCUGUCUCUCUCUUUUUCUUUUUUUUUUUUCUGAUGGAACGGGUGUCCGGAUCAAUCCUUACGGGACCCGUCUAAUCCUAUUCCGAUCCGGAAGAAGAGGCCUUAUUCUCCCGAACACGAUAACUACGGGAUUCGGACCCUUACGAAUACUGGAUACCAGCUUCUAAGGAGACUUGCUGAGACCAAUCGAACCGCCUAUGAGGGACGUACAAUUUGAUAGGAGGCAAGAGUUGAACCCCUGACCUCCCACCUCACCGGGAGAGGUGGUGGCCAACUUUCCCUUCACUCUCUGUUUAAUAAUGAAGAACAUGUACCAUAGGACUGCAUUUUUCAGGAAGAACGUGUCAUGUCCACCUAAAAAAGAAAUUUUGCCGUGCUCAAUUUAAUUGGGAAGGACCGAAUCUUCUUUUUCCUUUCUUUCCACGUUUUUCGUGGAAAUUCUGCUAGAGGGGGGGGGGGGGGGGGUUGUGAUUUCUGGAAAAAGGAAAUCAGAGUAAUAUCUUCCUCGAGGGUACGUUAGAGUGCAGGAUUUCAAGUGAAGAUAAUAAAAUACUGUAGUGAUACAAGUGAUGUUGUUGUUCAAUCUAAAAGACAUGACAAACAGAUAUGUAGUACGUACCUGCGUAAUUACUUUCCCCAAAGGUAGCGGCAUAUCCCCACCAACUAUCCCGAAGACAUUCGUUCGUUUACGGCUUGAAGGAGAUUUUGAGAUCACUUUCUUCACUAACUCUUCUGUGGGUUGUACUUAUUGACAUGGAUAUGGAACCAUUUCAUUGCUACGAGUACUCAUUUUAGCAAGGAAACAAGGGCCACCUACCACCAUGAGUUUACUUUCAGUUUCACCAACUACAAGUCAUGAACUACUUGCUACAUUCGUGCAUGCAAAUCGGAAAUUGGAGCGGCGGACUUGCCUGCUACUUGAUCACAUUUUUUCUUUUAGAAAUGUUAGUGAAAGAACGAUGAGAUUUAAAAAGUGAACAGAAAAAAAAAAAAAAAAAAAAAAGAGAAGCUAAACCUAGGAUUUUGGAUUUCUGGCGUUUCAAUCUUAAUCAUUAGAAUAACAUCUCCUCAAGAGUUGCUUGAUCACUUGCCCACAGUCAACUAUGAUAGAAAAUUCUAGCAUUCUAGUCUAUAGAAUAUUAUAUUCUAUACAAAAGAAGCAUGGAUUCAAGAGCUUUUGAAAAACUGUUUUUGUCUUUCAAAUUUACAGUAAUAAACUCUAAAAGUAAUUCAAAAAACCAACUCAAAAAAAACACAUCUCAAAUACACUAAAAAAAAAAAAAAUAAGAAUUCCUUCUUUUUUCUUCACCUAUCACCCACCAUCAACUUUCAUCAUAUACCAUCACCCGUCGCCACCUCUCUUUCUUCUCUCCUCUAUCCUCCUCCCUCCGCCCCACUCCUCUCCCGCAACUCCCCUUCUCCUCCCACCCUCUUUGGUCGCCACCCGCGACCAGGUGACCAAAAACUAGCUGCCAACUAUGGCGACCAAUUUUUGGUCGUGAGGGGGGUGGAAAAAGUUUUAUAGAAUUUUAAAAUAUUUUAUUAAAAUUUUAGAUUUUAAAAAUAUCAAAAAAUAUAUUUUCAAAACCAUCCAAAAAAAAAUAUUAAAAAUACUUAUCAUAAAAGUUUUUCACAUAUAGUAUUACAGUAAAAUAUUUUAAAAACAUUCCCAAAGCAGCUAAUCCUAAAAUAUUUUCUCAAGGCUUUUAUUUCCGUGAUAAGUAAUUACAUGCCGUUAAGCUAAGAGUUUAUUUAGGAAAUGGAGCAGGGACAACCAUCAGGACGAUUUACGGCUAUAAUUGGUCAAUAUAUAUAUAUAUAUAUAUAUAUUUCUCAUGUCAUAUGUCAGUGAAUUACACAUUGAAGAAAUGAAUGUGCAUCAUGUAGCGGAAUCGUACAAAACUGACAUGAUGUCCCAAAUCCGUUUAUUUAAUCUUCAGGAUGGAUUAUUUGUAUAGUUCAUUUUUUGUCCAUUAUUGGAAAAAAGUAUGGGUUGCAAAAGUAGUGGUAGCCUAGACCCUAGUAGCAGCAGCAGCAUAGAGAAGCAGCCACGUCUGCGUUUUUUUCCUGGUGGUCCGGACCGGCUCCAAAUGCCAAAUGGUCCUUCAAGUCGAAGAUCAAUUCCAUUCCAUCCGCAUGGUACGUAGUAGUAGUAUAUUAAAAACGGCAGAGCAGAGAAGGCGUGCGGGGACUUCUCCAAACUGGGGCCCACCAGAUCAAAACACCAACAUUUGUGAUUCAGCCCAAUUUGGCCCACACGCCAUAUAUGUUUCUGAUACAUGCAACUAUUUUUGCUCUAGUCCCGUGAGUGCGUGCGUGUCUGGUUGUGUCCAUGAUUCAAUCUUCUUCGCUGCCCUAAGAACAAAAUUCUGAAAUUGGGAUAAUGACACGCGGGAGAUAUCUGUGGCAGCAACACAAAUGGGGUACAUUGCAUGGGGUGGAAAUGCGGGACCAUGAAUGAUGGGAGCCGGUCCAGCAACAGUGCGUGGUCCCAAAUCGAUGAGCCUCAAGGCCCUGAUCAGCAUCAUCGGCCGAGAAUUUUGAACCCAAUGAAUCAGAGAAGAAUGGCUGAAGGUGCCACCACCGGUUUCAGGAAGAAAGGUCCCUGCCCUGCCCUGCCCGUCCCGUUAGCUCAGCGGGCUGGAAUUGGAUGCGAUAAGGAUUUGAGGAGUGUCAAAGUCAGGUCCAGAUUAAUCUCCAAUAAGGACUGGACGUUGCGGAUGCAAAACGAAAUGCAACUUUCAGUGUCUGCCUGCUGUCUUGGAAAAUUCUUUGAAAGGGAAAAUUUGUAGAAGCCAAAAGGAAUCAUGCAAUUGCUAAAUGGACCGCGACCGCUUUUCCUCGUUAACCACAUGAAUCUUUCCAAGUCCCGUGUCCCUUUUCACACAAAAAAUAUGCCAAAAUGGCCAACCCGAAAUGCCAUUUUUAUCACACGCUGCUGCGCUUAAUCUUCUUGUUCUAGAACCUUUUGAAUUCUUGUCCAAAAUUCGGCCUACAUGGGAUUGCCCUUUCAAUGCUGAAAUUCUACCUUUGUCCGGUUUAAACUCUUGCGAGGCACGAUUAACUUGCUCUGUGACUAGCAAAAGACCAAGAUUUAACUUGCAUGUACUUGAAAUAUAAUAGGUUUGUUUGGAUUGUAAGUUAUUUGAGAUAUUUUUACUGUAGCACUUGUUGUGACGUGAUGUAUAUAAGAUAAAAAGGUAAUUGAGAAGAUAAAAAGGUGUAUUGGAAAUCGUAAUGAUGAUGUAAGCAAAUAAAAUUGGGAAAAUAAUGCUCAAUUAAUAUAACCCGUACCAAGGCCGAACUAAUGGACUUCUUGGUUGGCAUAAGAAUGCUCUGCUCCGCCUGGUCUUCCCAUGUCCUACCCGCUGCCUGAAAGGCUGAAAGCCACAAAAUAUUUGACACAGACCCGUAAGAAAAAGAAGACGAGCAAAUUAAACCGGAAAAAGGGGAGUACAAAAUAUCAUCGUAAAGGUUGAAAUAUUUCUCCCCAGAUGCAAUUAAUUUGCUUAGCUUUUUCCUAUGCUGGUAUUUUUGAGGUCGAAAUCCGGUACACAUGAUAAUCUAGCCACCUAGACCUGGACAUUUAUUAGCAUGAGGUGACAACGACUUUGAAAAGUCAUUACUCAUUCGCACAUGUUUACAAUUUUUCACUUUUCCCGUUCAUUGAGAUGAGAUGGAGCAUCGAUCGCAUCAUGUUCUCUUCUCUGCUUUUGUAGAGUAUUAUUUAUUUGACUAAUGGACCGACCUCGCCUAACUUUGAAAAACCCUACCAACAGCUGAAGAAGACAGCUGCUUUUCGUCAUCAAUUGCGUCAACAGCAAUUAGAUUAAAAUUUUGCAACAUUAAUUUUGUUUUCGAGACAUCCCUCCUGCACUGCGCGUCAAUUUUCACGAAGCUUUCUAUUCUUGAGUCGGCAGCCAUCUUAUGCGCAAGAAAUUACCUUUGCAUGUAUCCACUUCGCAGAGCGGAUGCCCAGUCGAUAAUCAGUUUUUCUCUUCCGUGUUUGCAUAAUUUCCAGUAAAGUGAGGAAGAAAAAGAGAUUGUGGUAUAUAUUGAUCUUAUUGAAAAUCCCAUUUGUAUAUGCCAAAAAAAAAAUGCGUUCGGAGCUUAUUGACGUCCAAAAAAUCAGGAAUCACAUCAAUUAGCUGCUGCUGGAGUGGUAAUAUUGAGAGAGCCAAUUCUCGAUAAUCUUGAUCUCUCUUCUCCUCGCAUGCUUCAGCCAUUCUGGAUCUUCAGGUGUCGAGAAUCUAAGGUCCACAUGGUGUGCACCUGUGACACAAAAAAAUCCACACCGUACGUACAAAACACGUCAUCAAUUUCACUUUACAUUAUUAUUAUUUUAUUAUUAAAAAAAAAAAAAAAAAAAAGCUUGGCGUACGAGAUUUCUUCGCUUGAAAACUUGGCAUACUAGGUCAAGUUCCAAAUUGUCAAAGGCAACAUGCUUAAAUUUUGCUUUUCUUAAGAAGUGUGUGUAAAUGGCAAAAAAAACUAAUGGCAGUAAAGUAAACUGACCUUCCUUUGCAACAAUGGCUACGAGGCUUUUCGAUAUAUCCUUUAGCACCCUGCAAUAAUUACAUGCAUUAAUUGCAACACCAAGGCGGCCAUAUCAUAUAGAAAUCUCUCAUUCCGAACGAAGAGACGACUGACCCUCCCCCGCUCCAUGGAUCCCUCAGUCCGUUGAAGAAAAUGAUGUUGCUUCCGAAGCGCUUCAAAACUCUCUGAAUGUUCUGUCAGGGAGAACAACAACGCAACAAAACACGCUCAACCUCGUUCGCAUUAGGCGUCAGGAGUCAAUCCACAUUCAUCAUUACUGUUAUUAAAUAUGCACUAUACACAAAGAGGUGGGUUUGGCCCUCACAUGGCCACCGAACUCCGUGGUAAUCCAGUUGGGCCUGGGCUGGACACCAAAAGCAUCUUCGCAGGAUUGGGCUCUUCCUGCGUAGUCCCACUCCGAAGGCGGAAAUAUGCUGUCCGCAUUGUUCCCGCCAAUGGGCAGUAUCAUCUCCGUACACGCCUGCAGCAGAAUAGAUGACUCCGGACUCAUUCAUUUGAACCCGCCAGAGCUAGAUCUUUUCAUUUGGUUGAGAAAUUCAAAGAACGAUUGAUAAAAGUAGCAGCAAUUCAUGUUCAGGGGCAUCGCAGCACAUUAUUAUUAUUUUGAUUAGGAACAAAACUAGAGCGGGAAGGCAUCUAAUCCAAAGGCCGGAGUACUGGAAGUGGAAGGGGGCCAAUAAUUGGAUGACUCGCCAUCACAGUCACAGGAAGGCUUACAGCCUGUACAUCUCCCCCACUCGUACGUGAAGAAGCGGGUCACUUAACUGGAUUCCACCAUGAUAUUAGCGUGGACAUCUCGUUGUUUCAGUGCUAAAAAAAUAAAAAAUUUGUUUUUUUUGUUUUUUGUUUUUUGAGGAAUAGAAAAAAUUGGUUUAGAGUGAGAAAGUGAAGAAUCUUUGUGUCUAGUACUCCUACAAUUUUCCUCGACCAAAUCAGGCCCUCAAAAAGAUUGACCAAUCCCUCAAACUCUUGAAGAAUAUCACUCCGUUUGAGAAAAGGUAAAAGCAUUUAUUAUUAACUUUUAGUUUUGCGUGGCCCUGGAUCCAAUGACUAGGAUAUAUAUUUAUAUAUAGAAAUCCUCCUUCCUGUUUAAGAAUCCAAAGAGCUCUUCAAAAAAAAAAGAAGAAAGAAUCCAAAGAGUUGCUCCCGUGGAAUCGAAUCACAGACCCACUCGUCAUUACGUUCCAUGUUAAUCUGACUUUUGAAUAGCCUGACAGAGACUAUUCUGUCCUCCUUAAUCCUAUCACAAUAAUAAUAAUGUUGUGUGUGUGUGUGUGUGUGUGUGGUUUGCUGUUGAGCUCAGAAUCCGGAUCGGGGGGGGGGGGGGGGGAGAAUAUUCCUUCAUACCUGGUAACAAAUAAGGUUCUUGCUUCUUACUUACCUGCCAUGACCAUUCAUCGAGGCCAUGCGGAUCUGAAUCAUCAUUGAGAUUGAAACACGUGGCUCUUCCGGUCGAGUUGUAGUAGACGUUAGCUGCACCGUACAGCUUCUCAAACGUAUUACUAUUGUUUCCCGCUUUUCGAUCGUCAAUCGCCUUGCACAUCUGCAGCGAAACAUUCACAGAGGUUUGACUUUGCAAAUUUAGUUUCACCCUGUCCUUCCUCUCGUCUUCGAGAGCAUAUUAUUAUUGAUGAAGCUGGGUCGGGUCUCUCCGGUUCAAGUUCUGUUGUUGACUUGUGCAAACUAAUAAAUAAUUGUAAAUCUUUGUACCGACUUAAUUACGCAUAAUUUAUAUUUACAUUAAUAAAAUUGUGGUAACAGAUUACACAGAAUUGGAGAUUGAUUCAUUUGCAAUUAAGUGUAACAACCUUAUUGCAAUUGUUUGAGGGCGGUUGGUGAGAAAUGAUGUGCACCCAAUUGACGUAACAACAGUACCUUUCUUGAUUAGAUUACGUUGCCCAGUCCGAUGGACAAACUGAGCAGUGAGCUUUGUCAAGAUAUUUCAAAUUAAAGCGACUAGUGGUUGUUAAGAAUAAUACAAUACGUCCAAAUGCCAGCUUAAUCCUGGAUGUGUAAUUAAUGUGUUUCCCGCAAGCAUUAGCAUUAGCAUUAGCAAGAGCCAUUUUCCUGCAAAUUUUUUAAGGCUUUCAAAACGUAGUAGUGUAGUACGUACCUGCUUCACCGGAUAGGCUGGCAAAGGAUUGAGAAAAUUGGAUGGAGUUGGGUAAUCCGUCAUGGCCGUGUAAAUAAACGCGGUGGAUAGCCAACUUACAAGAGCACCCGCACUGAUGUAGUUCCUGUGAUUCGAUUUCAUUAAAGCUGCAUGUAUUGAAAUUGUUGGUUGAUGAUUGAUGGCACAUGUACUUCUAAUUACUUGCAUAUUCUGAAGGACUUCCGGAGUGUGUCCAGGCCGCCCGAUUGUUCUGCAGUGUCUUCUAUUAGUUGCCACGAUCCUUUUAUCACUUUGUAGCAGUUCUCGCUCUCGCUCUGUUGUCACAUGCCACAAUGUCGCUGUUAAUCAUACAUAACUAAUAAUAUAUACACCCGCCGCCAACAUUUUCCAGUGUCAAACAAACUAACAUGCAUAUGUACAACUUCAUCGUUGGACUCUAAAUAUUGACACGAUUCUUUCAAUAUAUAUAUAUAUCCGAUUGUACUUUUCUUCUUAAUUUAACUUUAUCUUGAAGCUUGACCUGGCUGGCCGGCCGGCCGGCCGGUGUCUUUUGCUUUGGACGUAUGAUACUAAAAAAUGACCACUACCGAGAGAGACGAAGGAAGAGAGAGAGAGAGAGACAUGCCCUGAAAUCAUUGCCGACGGUGCUGUGGAAGCUGUAUUCAGAUGUUAUGUUGUCAAAAUAGAGGAUUGGUGCAGAGGAUGCCAGGGCUCCUAUUGCAACGUGCGGAUACUUUAGUCUGAACCAAGCUGCAAGCACUGUCAGGAUCAAACCAAUUAAACUGCUCGUGACCAUCAGCUCACUCAAAUUAAUUCCGACUAGAAAAAAAGAAAACCAAACGCACGCCAAAUAAAUAAUGCCAUACUUCCCCCGUAGGAGCCUCCAAACACUACCACGGGCGAAUCAACUGCACUCAAAUUCUUUUUGAGGUCAAUGAUCAAAGUUGCAUAAUCUGCCAAUGCCUGCGUGGAGCUCAAAUAUCCCAGAGUACUUGAGUUUGCAUAAGCCGCGUCUUUAUUGCCCCCGAACGGUAUCGAUUUUCCAUAAAAUCUAUGCUGCAGAUUGAUUUGAUUUUGUACAUGAAUUCCAAAAAAAAAAAAAAAAUCUUCCCAUAAUCAAAGCGUGUACUGAACUCUGUUUCCGUGAACAUGAUGAUGUGCAUGAAAACACGAUAGGAUGGAUAUGAAACAGUAACGAUUCAUAACUAUGUGACAUGUUUUCUUUCCGCCCCAUUAUGUUGCAGCCAGGCCUUUAACUAGUAUUUCUGGAACAAAUAAGAUACAAAUUACCUCGAUGAAAACUAGAAGAGCUUUGAAAUGAGGCGCGUUCUCGAACAUGAAACCUGUAUUUUGAGUAAACCACUCGAUGUCUCCUUCAUUUCCCGUAUAGACGAAGAUUGGGGCAUUUUUCUUAGCGCCGCCCCAGUGUUUGUAAGAGAUUAGAUAUCUCUGUUGAAAGGUUUGAUAACUCUGGGGAGUAAAAGUGAAAUGAUCGAGUAUUUGAGUGUAGUAUUUUGUUUCGUAAAGCUUACUUUUGAUGGAAACAGAUGACGAUGAUUCUGGCCGGAAGGCGGGAGAAGGAAACCUCAAGGUAAUCUUGGCCGAAGAAAUGAGAAGAAGUUGCAACGUCAGAAACAACAAUCUCAAUCUGGUACCACCCAUAGCCAUGAAUUUUUGUGUGCGGUGGUGUGUGUGUGUGUGUUUCGGAGAGCUCUGGGCGAGUUUGUUCUUCCUUCUUCGGAAGGGGGGCGUCGUUAAAACAACGCAGAGGAGAUGAGACCAAAUUAAGCUGUAUUGGUGCCUCGCCUCGUUGGAAUAUUAAACUUCCUUUUUUUUUUUUAUACUAUAUCUUAAAAAAGCAGAUUCGGAGUUGACGAUCGCGGCCAUACCAACCAGCCAACCAAUUAUGAUCCUGGUCAGCAUUAGUCACGACCACUAAUUUGUAAUUACCCUGUGCCCAUCCAAGCCUACCCUUUCUAUAUUGCCCGAACGAAUAUGAUAGAAUCACGUUCGAUCAUAAACUACCAUGCUCUCACGAACCAAUCACUACCAUGGUUCGCCAUCGCAGGUCGCGGUCGCGUCGCAAUCUCAGUUGUUUCACUGCAUAUCGGUUGAAUAUCGGGUGAUAUGAACAUUAUAAUACAUUAAAGUUUCCAAAAAUUUUGAAAAAAUUACUAAAAUUAGAAAAUACUGAAAAAGACACAAUUUAAAAAAAUAUCGGAGUCGACUCCGAGUUGACUCGGAUAUAUCGACCGAUAUCAUGUAUCACGGAUUUGAAUCGGUCAAUAUCGGCCGAGUCAGAGCGAGUCGUCGCGGAUAUGGUGAUAUCCGCGAUUCGGGGAUCGGUAUCGUACCGGUCCCUUCCGUUCCAGAUACGACUCGGCCAAUACGUAUCGGUACCGGCCGAUAUGGCGAACCAUGAUCGCUACAUUUAUCUUCAUAUUAUUUUAAUAAAAAAGAAGAAAAUUAUAUUAAGCGAAUUGAAUUGCUGAAAGUCGUCAAACACGAUGAUUAGCUUGGCUAAUCUGUAUGUAUGUAUACCCAUAUAAAGAACAUGUACAAAGAAAAGAGAAAUGAAAAAUAACGAAUUCAAUAAUGUUUGAAGAGCAAAUAUUUUACAAAAAAAAAAAAAGUUUGCAGAGAAUAAGAAUCUUGUCAGUCUACAAUUAAUUUUAAUUAAUUUACAAAUUAUCAAAGUUAAUUUUUGGUCUUUUCUUUUUUGACCCAUUUCAACAGAAACCAAUUCAGACAGUCCUGCCUUCAAAAGAAAUAUCCUUUUAACAUUUUUAGACUAAAACGGUAGGAAGAUCAAAGAUGAGGCCAGCAACAUUUCAGGAAAGAGGAACAUUAGUUGAUGAAAUAGCAAAAAAUCUCAUUAGGUGUCGAAACGUUUAAAAAAUCAUCUUCCUCACUCACACUACUGUCUGUCAAUGCGAGAGGAUUAACAUCAUUCACAGGAUCGUGUCAAAAGCUCUUAGACAAAAACUGAGACCACAAUUGAUGGACGUGUUUUUUUUUUUUUUAUUCUUUUUCUAUUUUUUUUAAUAACAAUUGAUUCCCUUCCUUAUUUAUAGCAAGGUUUUUAUUAUUUAUAGUCAAUUUCAACAAAUCUAAUUAAUGAUUUGUUUUAUAUAAAUUUGUAUUAAUUGUACCCUAUUUAUUUUUUUUCAAACAAUUUCAAUCACAUUCUAUAUUCCUGAUAUCGGUUCGCGUUUUUCAAUCACAUUCUUUUAUGCGGGGUUGUAAAAGUUCUCUCAAAUUACUUUUCUUAAUUUUUAAUAAUUUAAGUAAAUAAUAAGUUCAUCAUCUAUUAGCUUGCUUUUAAAACUCUUUUUAGUCGUGAAAGAAUAAAAUAUUUAAGGACACUUAUUUCCUAAUAUAUCUCCUUCACCAUUAAUUAGAGUAAACUUUACAAUAUACGAUUAUAUUAAAACUAAUUAUUAAGUUGUUAUAAAUUAAUCAUUUUAAUGUUUGUCUUACAAUUAGUAUAUUAAAUUUUUCUCAAAUAGCAUUUUAAGCUUUUUUUAUAAACAAAUUUUGUUUCGAAAAAAUAAAAAUUGCGGAGUAUAAAAAAAAUGCCCAUGCAAAUGCACAGGAAAGAAACUGGUGUGCUAAUAUUUUCAAGCGUAUUUGUGCAUUUGCUUGGGCAUUAUCUCAUGAGAAGAAGCCAAAAUAAACAUGAUGGUUUAAAACCGCAAGAAGAUUAAAGCAUGAUUAACUCAUUAGAAUCAGAGACUUUUGUACAAGUCACACUCAAAACUGACACAAUUUUCUACAAAAAGAAAAAAAAAAUUACAAAGACAGAUUCCUCUAACAGAUGAGCUGAGAACUUUCCAAGCAUAACUAACAAGAUGUUAAUUCUUUCUUUUAAACACUCCAAUUUGUCUCGAUCUGCGGAGCUAUCCCAGGUCCACAGCCUUCAGUGCCAGUCUGCAAACAUUAGUUUCUGAAGCAAGAAUUUACCGUCUUGAUCUUCUUGCAGACUGUCCAUCUCCUCUGCUUUCUGCCAGUCUUGACUUUGAGCCACUUCCCUGCGAAAAACUAUUCCUCUCUUGAACAGCACCAUGAGGAUCUCUUGAAGGCCAUGGUUGCUCCCACUGUCUGGUUGGGCUCAUAAAAUCUCUAGCUGAUCCUGUCCUGGAAUUAGACAAUAAUUGGUCCCUAAGGCCCUUCACAGACUUGUACCUUUGUGUCUCAUCUGCAGAGCUUUUUCUCUGAGCUUGCUUCUCGAGUUCAGAGAACCUCUCCCUGUCUAUACCAUCUGCUGGGUUUUGCAUGCCUCUGGAUUUAAACCCCCAUUCAGCGGUGUCUGAAGUGCUCCUUUGGAGAGACGAGCUUCUCCUAGGGAUCUGUCCAGUAAAAGAGUUCCUCCCCUUCCCUUCAGCUUCAACAGAGAUCCUCCUGAAUUCAGAACCAGCAGCAGAUGCAUGGGCCCACUUAUAUGCCUUGCUGUUAUUGUCCAUGUUCAAUUCUAUAGGAUGUAGCUCACUCUCAGCUGAGCCUUCGUCAGCGUCCUCCACCUCUCCUCCAUCAUCUUUUUCUUCACUCAAGUAAGUACUGCAUUGAUUCCUACUUAAGCAUGCCGCUAUAUCUUCACCGUUGCCAAAAUUAUGAGAGUCGCUUCUUUUUUCUUUACCUUUCUUUUUCCCCAGGAAAGCUUCAAUUUGUUUCUUUAGCUUGUCAACAGCAGUAUCUUUCUCCUCAAACUGGUGUUUAGCAUCUCUCUCCUCACGCAGUGUACCAGCUAAAUGGAGCAUCUCUCUUUCCUUUUCAAUCUCUUCACGGACCUUUUCUGCAUCUCUCUUUAGCACUUCCACAGCUCUAUCCUCAUCAACAUCCCUAGCUAACUCAUCAUAUACUUGUUCCAUUAUCUCCCUGGUUCGUUUCUCACUCUCAAGUUCUUUGACUGCUUUCAUAAAUGAUGCUUUUGUCUCUGAUAGUUCUUUUCCAAGUUUUUUGUUCAAGCUCUCAAAUCGCGUCCUUAACUUCCUCUCCACCUCAAGUUCACCUGCAAUGGUAUCAAUUGCAGACUCAACAGCUUGACGCUCUUUGCUUUUCCAUGCAGCCUUCUCCUCAGCAAAACACUUGAUCAUAUAACUAAUUUCAUUUUGGUCCAUAUGUUGUUCUUGUAUAAGCUGAUUAACCUGCAGGCGAGCCCUCUCAAGCUCAGCAUGUAAUGCAGAAACAAGAGACAUGCUAGACGAAGGUUGAUCAGCAUUAGCCCAGAUGCGAUUGAUAAUUUUUAGCAGCUCUUUUGAUGUGGUCAAAGCAUUACUAACAUCCUUCAGACGGUUCCUUACACCAACUACUGAUCCACUUGGCGUCUGUGCUCGAGAUCUAGUCUCAAUCUUCAAGAAAGAAAUUCCAAUUUUAGCAAUUACUCUUGGUAGAUGUGAUAAGCAUUUCCAAAGCCCUGAAUCUUAGAACUCCAUUAGAAUCUAAGGAGCAGGAGUUUAACAAACAAUGCUAGCAAGUUCCCUUUGAGGAACACCUUAACUGAUGCUGCAGAAGUGAAGUAAAAAACAAACUAGUAGAGGGAUGACGAACAGAAUUGUUAGUUACAGAGGAAUUAGAUGUUACCUCCAUUAAACUAGCACUGCUAAGGGAAUCAAAAACUGCAGCAUUGUGGUCUAGAGUGCGAAGCCUUUGAGAAACUGAUGACGACCUCCUCUGGUAGCUACCUGUUCCUGAUCGAUCCAUCCUCUACGAUAUCAACAGAUGUCUUAGAUCACCACAAAAGUAACUCAGACCACGAUAUACUACUGUAUAAAGACAACUAUUAUGCCAAUCGAUAGCUAAAGUUCUAAAAAUUGGAUCAAGCUUACAAUAACUAGAAAAAGAUGUAGCCAAGUUACCCUUUCCAAAGAUGAUCAAUGAAACCUGUUUGUUUGGUUCUUAGAGAUGAUAUAUAGAAUUUUCCAAAAUCAAGUACCAACAAUCACUUGAAAUCUGAAAAUCUGAAAAUCAAGUACCAACAAUCACUUCUUUCUCGUCUUUUAAUUAAAAUUCAGUAACAAGAUGGGCAAGUUUUCUACGCCUGAGAAAUUUCCAAACAGAUGGGGAAAAGAAUAAGAACGAAGAAAGACAGAUUAAGGCUCAACCCCACUUUUUUCCCUUACAAGAGACGGAACAGCCGAGUUCCCAACCCAUUGUUCACGUUCUGGUAACUUCAAGAUUUAAACCUAGAGAACCUCAGAUAACCCAAAAAGGUUAGAAAAUAUAUCAAAAUGUCAUUGUCUUUCAUCUUUCAUUAGCUUCCUCAGGCAAUUGAAAAAAAAAAUUGUCUACUACUUAAUCAUUCCACAUCACAACAGUUACUAAUUUAUCAACAAAAAGUUCGUAAAUUACUAUCAACAGCCUAAACCAGUCAACAUAACAAGAAAACAGUAAAUUAUCAGGACAGAAAACCUGCUGUGGAUUUGUGGUCAACAACAAACAUUACUCUUUAACGGUAAAAAUCAUAAACUAAGCACAAAUACAUAAUUAAAAGCAAGAAAAACCCCACCUCAGAAACAGGGCUAUGAGAUGGAUCAGACAAAUGGGGAGGCACAGAUGACCUUAACUUCUCCUUCUUCAACAUCAUCAACUUCUUGUUCCUUUUCUUCUCCUCCUCCAAAUUCUCACUCAAUUUAGGCGAUGGCAUCUCAUUCAUUUCCCACAAAGUAGCAGCCAGCCUUCUGGCAGAGACCGGCCGGGACCUCCCACCACCAUUACUCUUCUGAGAAAACUUAGGGGAGUCAAUGGCGCUCUUCAAAGGCGUCAUUUUCCAACUUGGCACUGGCGUGCUGGAUCUGGACCCUCCGAGCCCGAUACCUCCUCUAGCCUUCUUGCCCACCAAAAUGGCCCGCUUGAAACGGUAACUGUGAACCUUUGAUGACGAAGAUGAUGAUGUCGAGCAACCCCUUUUCCGGAUCUUGGGUACAAAAUCCCCCAUUUCCAUCAUCCCUCGGUUUUGCUGCCUCUGCAUUGUAACUAGCCCUAAUUCUCGAUCUGUCACAAAAACUGCUCCUCAAUUUAUGCUCAAAUCUCCUUCUUGAUCUGUUAUAACAAGUACAAGACAAAAUAUCAAUAACGUAGGAAAAACUAAGUUGUGGAAUAGAAGCUCAUACAAUUUUGUUGAUCGAGUGCCGGGGUAGUAUCACUUCCGUUUUCAGUCAAGUUUCAAAUUUUAACUUAAAAAGAACUAAUAGACUAUCUCUGCUCUCUCUGGUGAUUUGGUGGAUGGAUUUGUUGGGUUUUUGUCAAUUUGGAGUAUGUGACCUAAAGUAUUGAAUUUGAUUUUUAUGUGGGAUGGGAGAGGGGGAGGGCUAAGAAGGUUCAGGGAGAGCAAAUGAGUUAAAUUUGAAUUGGAAGGAAAAUUUGAGCAGAGUUUCGAAUGAAUUAACAAAAUGUAUGUUUUUAGUAUAAUUAGCACAUACGACGACUAGGACAUAGUGCUUCUGUCAAACACUUUGACAUGACAACAACGUAUUAAGGAGGGUACGCAUGAUGAUGACGAUGAUGAUGGUGUGAGAUGAUGAGAAGUAAAUUAAUUCGGGGGGAGCAGAAAAGGAAAAAGAGAGCUCUAAAUCGCAUGUGACGCUACAAUGGUGGCAGGGAAUUAUUGGUUUCUGCCUCGAAUCUCUUUUUUUGCUUUCCUUUUAUUUCUUUUUUUUUUUAAAUUUCCGUCUGUCACAUUUUGACUUGUUGACUGGGGGUUGUGCUGCUGCUGAGCUCCAUCAUUUUGCCCUCUUCGGCCAGCCUUUCUCUCUCCAUUCCGCGCAUCCAUCCAUUUCAAGUCCAACUCAAAAGAGCUUUUUCGUUUUUGCUGCGCAUCCUCGACUUGGUACAAUGCGGAAGCGAAGGCACUCGCUGUUUGAUCUCUCCUCCAAGCACAAGGAUGGCCAAUCUCCGGUUUGGGCCCCGUUUCGCGGAGAACAAACAGAUGCCAAUCUUCUGCUUUAGCUUAUGUCAGAUUAUCGGGCAGGCAUCAUAAUACGUAACCUGAGGGUGCUCACCUCGGCCACCCCGCGUGUCCGAGGUGAAGUCACCUCGUCCCUCAUCGGAGCCCAUCCCUGUCUUGAGCACAAUCCCAGAGCCCGGCUUCAUCCCUAGUCCACCGUGUAGGUGACCUCGGCACAUCCACCUCGGCCGCACACUGAUGAUGUCAACCUGCCUGACAUCUUCCAGGACCAGCACUUUAUCUGAAAAGCACGGGAGGCACUUGAUGGCACCUGCACCAUAUCCUCCGUCAUCACUCCCAGGCGGCUACAGUGUCAGAGUCAGACUCCCCGACAGGAGACAGAGCCGUAAUGUCAGAGUGGGUCCCACUAACAUAAGUCCAGAGUCUCGCCUCUACUCUUCUAUAAAUACCUCCCUCACACUCCCACCAAGUAAGCGGACACUGUUCAUUAACUCAUUCUCAUUAUUCUUGUUCUCAUACUAACUUGAUCGUCGGAGUGAUACCAGGGGAGAAGCCCCGCCACACACUUCGGACGAGGAGGUUCACUUCGGACACAGGAGUUCACCUCACUUCAUCUCAGAGAGGACUGAUCCAGGUCGGUCUAGUUACCAACCGAAAAUCACCUCCUCAAUUGGCGCCGUCUGUGGGAAACGAGAUUACUGUUACUAAAAUGAGAUCCACGCGCUCCAGAAGUGGUCGAGUUCCCUCAACUGGGGUUGGGCAGACCUCGGGAGCCCAGCAAGAUCGCAUCUCUGAAGAGCAAGGGUCCCCGAGGACCCAGCCUGACAACGAGGAGGCCAUCGCCAAGAUGGCCGAGUUCGUAUCACACAACCCUACCAUUUUUGAGGAGCUAGGAAGGUACCUCAAAAGACAGGGGAAAGAAAAGGCCGAAUCUUCCAAGAGGAGGCCGACGAAGUCCCCUGAGGCACCUUCAGAUGAAGACUCCGAUGAGGGGCGUUUCUCUCGGAGUACCUCCAGGCGUGCCUCCUCCAAGGCGACCUCUAAAAUUGCCUCCAUCUCCCGAGCGUUUUCUCGAGGACUCCUAGGGAAACGGGCCGAGGACCCACCUCGGCGCCCCGGGGGCCUGGCUUCGGACUACAUGAGGGCUCCGCCCUUUACGGAUGACAUCAAUGGGGAAAGGGUGCCCCCGAAUUUCAAGCUCCCAAACUUGCCCACCUAUGACGGCCGAGGUGACCCCGAGGAUCACUUCCGCGCCUUCAUCUCCGCAUUCCGACUCUACUGUGUCCCCGACGCCGUGAUUUGUUGGGCUUUCCCCAUUUUCCUACAUGGGACUGCCCGGAAGUGGUUCUGGAGUUUGGAACCAGGGAGCAUUUCCUCCCUGGAUGAGCUGAUAGACCGGUUCAUCCACCGCUUCGUGUCGUCUCGACCAAUCACGAAGACUUCAGCUUAUCUCUUGAACCUUCAACAGGGUCAGGGCGAGUCUCUUCGCUCGUAUGCUCAGAGGUUCAACGAGGAGAAUGUGCAAAUACCUGAUCAGAACGAGCAGGUAACUCUCGCGGCCUUUACCAACGGGUUGGUGGCCGGACUCUUCAACACCGAAAUCCAUCAGGAUUACCCUCGUACACUUCACGAACUCUGGGAAAGAGUGGACCAGGGAAUCCGAAGUGAAGAUGUGAAUCGCAUGAAGCGAGAAGCCCAAGCCUCUCGUACGGGACAAGAUGCCCGGAGAAGGAAAGACAUCGGCCGAGGUGAACCCGGCCCAAGUGGCACUUCAAACCCACCACGGGACCGCCGGAGUGUCUUUGACCGGAUCGUGAAAGGAAGAUCUUCCACCUCGGACGCUGAGCUAACACCGCUCAAUUCCAGCCGAUCUCAUGUCUUGGCUGUGAUGAGGCAGAACCACCUCGGCCGAACACCUCCUGAGAUCCCUGGAAGAAGAGAUAGGAGGAACUCCAGCCUCUACUGUGCCUACCAUCGAGAUGUUGGGCACGAGACCGAAGACUGCAACGAUCUGAAACGAGAGAUCGAAAAUCUAAUUCGGCAAGGACACUUGAAACAAUUUGUCCGCAAAGAUGGAAACUUCGGACGAAGUGCCUCCCACCGGGAGAGCCGAGGUCCUCGCCGAGAAGACAGGCGGGACACCAAGUUCAACUGCCGAGGUCCUGAGGACCAGAAAGGGGACCAAAGGCCUCCACGCGACGGGUCACCAGGCUAUGGUCCCAACAUUGCCGGGGUGAUCAACACCAUCUCAGGUGGUCCCACGGGAGGAGACAGCCAGAGCUCCCGAAAGCGGACCUACCGCCAAGCCGGCAUGGAUGUGGCCGAGCCGAGCUCGAGGCUGUCCGAGGUCAUAACUUAUGGUCCCCGCGACCCUGUCCCCGCUGCCUCCAGCAAUCACGAGACCCUCGUGAUUGAGGUCCUCACAAACAAUUAUAUAGUCAAGAAGGUCUACGUUGACCCCGGAAGCUCGGUAGACGUCCUGUACUACCGAACUUUCGAGAGUUUGAAGCUAACCCGAGAACAACUCACUCCGGUCAGAACUCCCCUUGUCGGCUUCGGGGGACACGUCGUCCACCCGGAAGGCAUGGUGAAUUUAAUGGUGACUAUCGGGCGUCAUCCCCGUUGCCGAACUGUGCCUGUCAGCUUUGCGGUGGUCAAAACGGACUCUCCUUACAACAUGCUGAUAGGCCGGCCCACGCUCAAUGCCUUGAGAGCCGUAUAUUCUACCUACCACCUAAGCUUCAAAUUUCCAACACCAGAGGGGGUGGCUGAGGUGAGCAGUGACGUGGGCGCCGCCCGAGAAUGCUACCUUGCCACCAUCCAAGCCGCAGUCGGACCUCAGCCCCCACCGAGGUCAGAAGAAAAGAGGCCGGCUGUCCUCUCCAUAGACUGCAUCGACCCUCACAAGGCAGGAGAGCCCAGCAGGCUUGAGCCAGGGGAUGAAGUGGAACAAGUGGUCUUGGAUGAAGCCAAGCCUGACCGAGUGGUCCAAGUAGGGGCCGGACUCCCUUCACCCCUGAAAGAAGAAGUGAUCUCCCUGAUCAAGGACCACCGAGACAUCUUUGCGUGGUCCGCAGAUGAAGUGGUCGGAGUGCCACCCGAGCUUAUGACUCACCAACUUAACGUUAACCCACAGGCCCGACCUGUGCGGCAGAAGCGAAGACACUUCGGCCCCGAACGCAGCAAGGCCAUAUCGGACGAGGUCGACAAGCUCUUGCCGGCCAAGAUGAUCCACGAAGUCCAAUAUCCGACUUGGUUGUCCAACCCAGUCAUGGUCAGAAAGGACACCGGCGGAUGGAGAAUGUGUGUAGACUACACCGACCUCAACAAGGCCUGUCCCAAAGACUGCUAUCCCCUCCCGAGGAUAGACACCCUCGUCGACUCGGCGAUGGGGUACGAGAUCCUGUGCUUCCUAGAUGCCUUCAAAGGGUAUCAUCAAAUAGGAAUGAGUGAAGAGGACCAAGAGAAGACGGCGUUCUACACCGACCGAGGUGUUUAUUGCUACACCACCAUGCCGUUUGGGCUGAAGAACGCCGGGGCGACCUACCAAAGGCUGAUCAACCGGCUCUUCAAGAAUCAGAUCGGCCGUAAUGUGGAGGCUUACGUGGAUGACAUCCUCGUCAAAAGUCUCGCCAUUUCAUCCUUCCUGUUAGACUUGAGGGAAGUCUUCGGGGUCCUGCGAGACUCGAGGAUGAAGCUGAAUCCCAAGAAGUGCGUCUUCGGCGUCACCUCGGGAAAAUUCUUGGGGUAUCUGGUUUCCCAUCGGGGGAUCGAGGCCAACCCCGACAAAGUCAAGGCCAUCCAAGAUAUGUCCCCACCUCGGAACCUCCGAGAAGUCCAAAGACUGAAUGGACGCCUGGCCGCACUGAAACGCUUUUUGUCUCAAUCUGCUGAGAAGGCCCUGCCCUUCUUUAAAGUGCUGAAGAAGUCUGAUCAGUUCGCCUGGACUGAGGAGUGUCAGUCUGCCUUCGACCAGCUGAAUCAGUACUUACACCACCUGCCCACUCUCGCUUCACCUCGGCCCGAGAAGAAGCUCUACCUCUACCUCUCUGCAGCCGACGAGGCUGUCAGCGCUGUGCUCAUCCGAGAUGAGGGCACCCAAGUGCCGAUCUACUACGUCAGCCGCGCUCUUCGCGGGCCGGAGACUCGAUACACUCAGGUGGAGAAACUGGUGCUGAUGGUCCAUGCCGCUCGGCGGUUGAAGCCCUAUUUCUUAGCCCAUCCUAUCUCGGUCAGGACUGACCAGCCCGUUCGACAAAUAUUGGUGCGACCCGAAACUUCUGGUCGCCUCACCAAGUGGGCUGUCGAAUUGGGAGAAUAUGACUUGUCCUACGAGCCACGCACCGCCAUAAAAGCUCAAGCUUUGGCUGACUUCCUUGCCGAGCUCACCUUCACGGAAGGUCCGGAGUCCACCUCAGCCUUAGCCGAGGUGUCCUCCUCACCCCAGUGGACAUUGUAUGUCGAUGGAUCCUCCAACGGAGAAGGCAGCGGAGCCGGAUUUCUCCUGGAAGGACCUCAGGGAGAGGUGUGCUCCUACGCCCUCCGCUUUGGCUUCCCAGCCACCAAUAAUGAAGCCGAGUACGAGGCCUUAAUUGCUGGACUCCAGUUGGCCCGAAGGCUCGGCGCCCAGCAAGUCCACGUCCGCAGUGACUCCCAACUUGUUGUGCACCAAGUUCUUGGUGAAUACGAGACUAAGGAUGAGACCAUGCAAAGGUACCUCUCCAAAGUUCACCAACUCACCGCAUACUUCAAGUCAUUCGAAAUCCAAAGAAUCCCCCGGUCCCAAAAUAAGCAAGCCGACGCCAUAUCCCGGCUGGCCUCCACUUCAUUCUCGGACCUCAACAAGACGGUUUUAGUGGAAGUUCUGAAUGAACCAGGAUAUGUGGAAGAGGUGGCCUGCCCCGUCCACUCCGAAGAUAAUUGGAUGACCCCGAUCAUCCUCUUUCUGAGUCAGGGAACCCUUCCCGAAGACCGAGCCGAGGCAAGGAAGAUACAACGCAAGGCUGCUCGACACGCUCUCCGCGAUGGAGAAUUGUACAAACGCUCUUACCUCGGCCCCUGGCUGAGGUGUGUCACUCCCGAGGCCGGACGUCAUAUCCUCCACGAGAUCCACGAAGGCCUGUGCGGAGCUCAUGUCGGCCACAGGAUGUUAGCCAAGAAGACUAUGCUCCUUGGAUACUUCUGGCCAUCACUUCGGCAAGACGCCCAGGACCUCGUUCUCGGCUGUCCUUCCUGCCAAGUCCACGCACCCGAGCAUCACCAUCCCUCAAAUUUCAUGGUCCCCAUCACUUCACCUUGGCCAUUCGAGCAAUGGGGGACAGAUAUCAUAGGUCCUUUCCCUAAAGCGGUCGGGGGCUAUACCUUCCUGGUGACGGCUGUGGACUACUUCACUAAGUGGGUCGAGGCCGAGCCACUUCGCACCAUCUCGGGGCUGGCCAUUCAGAAAUUCUUUUGGAAAUGCAUUGUCUGCCGCUUCGGCAUACCUCAGAUCAUCAUCUCGGACAAUGGGAGACAAUUUGCCGAGAACCCAUUCAAGACCUGGUGCGAGAACCUCGGCAUCAAACAACACUUCACUUCGGUAGGCCACCCCCAGGCCAAUGGUCAAGCAGAAAACUUCAACCGGACUCUCCUGCAUGGCCUCAAGACCCGACUACACCGAGCUGGGUCAUCUUGGGUGGAGGAACUCCCCAGUGUCUUGUGGUCGUAUCGGACCACGCCGAGGUCAGCGACUCAAGAGACCCCAUUCUCCCUGACCUACGGAGCCGAGGCUGUCAUCCCGGCUGAGAUCCUUACCCCCACCCCUCGGCUGGCAGCCUAUGCCGCCGAGGUGAACGACGAAGAGAGGCUGCUGGACCUCGACCUCGUCGAAGAACGAAGGGAUCUCGCCUCCGCCCGGAUAGCUUCUUAUAAGAACACACUGGCACACUAUUACAAUGCCCGGGUCAGACAUCGUAGAUUCCGCCCUGGAGACUUGGUUCUCAGGAAAAACUCAGUCAGCCGAGCUGAGCCUCAAGGAAAACUGUGCCCAAAAUGGGAAGGCCCCUACCGAGUUGUGGAAUCUGACCCUAAGGGGUAUUGUAAACUGAGUUACCGAGAUGGCUCAUUAGUGCCGAGGUCUUGGCACGCCGAGAACCUUAGGUUGUAUUAUGCUUGAAGUUGUGACUUCAUUCAGUUGUUUCAUCCAAUUAUCUUGUCAAGUUAUGACUUCAGCUAUUUAGUUAUUUUUCAACGAUAUGAUGCCCAGCAUCUUUUAUUAAAAAAUAAGGGGGACAAACAAGGGAUGAAGUCAAAGCAAGAAACAAAAAGCGCUGAGAUAAGAGGAAACAGACUUUCAUUUAACAGAAGUAUUACAAAAAUUACAAGGCCGAGAUCGGAGUGCUACUAAACACUUCACCUCGGCCACCCCCUUGAAGCCUACAAGCCUAAACCCCCGUAUCGGCUGCAUCCCCGGUCUUGGCUCCCUCCUGGGCAUCCAUCUCUUCGGCCUCCUUUCCGCCGGGGUGAACUUCAUCUCCAGCCUCUUUGCCGACGUCCCCUCCGGCUUCGUCUCCCCCGGCAUCCUCUCCAGUUUCUUCCUCUUCAACCCCCUCGAACACUUCGUCGAUUUCGUACAGCCAUUUGUUGAACUCGGCCUGGACCUCGGCCAGGUCCCUUCCAGCCUGGAGGCCCUCAGCCAUCCGGUCGCACAACUCCUUGGAGUUCUCGUUGUAACUGGUAUGAUUUUUCAGAGACUCCAAGGCUUCGGGAGCGAGAUGAGCUGCAGCCUCGUCUAUGGCUGAUGUGAAGCCAAACAUGAAGUUCGGCGUGAGCAGUUGGCCGAGAUCCCUGGUGAAGGCCUCAGACCUCCGGAAUUCGUCCACCGCCGAGGCUCCAGCACUGUCAAGGGCUUGCUGGUGGGACUUCUUCGCCUCGUCCCCCCUCUUCUGCUCUUCUUCGAGAGCCGAUCUGAGACUGUUGACAGUAGCCACGGCCUCCUCAUCCUUCACCUCGGCCUCCUUAAGCCGCCUUUCAAGCUCGGCCUUCUCAGACUCGGACACCGCCAGUUGUUUUCUCCAACUUGGAGAUCUGAUUCUGUAGCUUGCCGGUGUCCUGCUCAUCGACCAGAGCACAAUAUCGGUGUGCCAUCUCGGCCGCGAAGGCUGAGGUGGAAGCCGUGGUCACCAUCAGACUUUGAACCAGUUCGGCCGGGCUCAGCUUCUUCAUGAACUCCAAAUCCCUUGGCAGAAUGGAGUGCAUUAUUAGCUCUUGAGCGACCCGAGGGUGUUGGCACCUGUCGUUGACCGAAAUCUUCCAGUUCGGACACCAAUGAUUGCCGGAGUGCGUCUUCUCGUCUCCGGAAAACACUGGGGGGCUAUGGAAACGAUUCCAUAGCGAGGUCCCCGACACCGGAUUAACCGGAGGCUUCAGCUGCUUGUCUCGGCCAGAAGGAGGUGUGACUAUUUUAACAACUCCAAGGGGAACUCCCUCUGGCGCAGACGAGGUGGACCCAGUAGCCGUAGUGGCCGAGCUGCUCUGGCCAGCUUUGGUGGAAGUGCCUUUGGGCGCUGAAGUCUUAGCGGCUGGUCCUUGUGACUUCUUCUUUGGCGGAGGCGCCGACGUCUCGUCCGAACUUUUCCUCUUCUGCCUCUUGGCCACUUCGGACGAGCCGGAGACGACGAGGUCAGACAGUUUAGUCACUGCACAAGGAAUAAAUAUUAUCAUAUGCCUUAGCCGAAAUGAAAAGAAAAGCCAUGAAAGAAAAUUACAAGGUUUCUCAAGUUUAAUGGAAAAGAAGGGAGUCUUGGUAGUGUUGAUCACGGCUCGACUUAUCCCUCCAUCUACGAGCACGGCCUCGGGGUAGUCAUGGCUGAACAGCCGAAGUCCCGACUUCAUCAGCUUCUGGAAGGACUCCUCUUCGGCAUCCCCGGCAGAGGGGUCGGCCUUCGCCUUAAUUGGCCUCCACCAAAAGCCCCUCGGGAAGUCCACUCCGGACACGAAGAAGUAGUCGCGCUUCCAGUUCUUGAUCGAGCUGGGAGCACCGAUCACCAACUUCGGGAUGGCAUUGUUCCUGUUGCCAACAUAAAACCAUCCCUUGUCCGACGCGUGCGCCUUGAGGGUGUAGCAUCGGCGGAAGAGAUCGACGGAGGGAGUCACCUCCUGAUGUCGGCACAGCAUCUCGAACCCCACAAUGAUGCGGAUCGCAUUCGGGGUGAGCUGGGUGAUUCUCACCCGGAAGUGACGAAGUAAAUCUCGGAGGAACCUCGACGUAGGCAUCCUCAGCCCGGCCUCCAGCUGUUGAACGUAGACGGCCACCAUGCCAAAGGGGGGCUCCGCGGCUGUGUCAUCCGCCUCGGGCGGCAAUACUUCGUACCACGGCCGGAAGGGGUACUUGUCUACCACCCUCAUAGCCCUAUCUCUUCCUACGCGACUCCUAAACUUCGGCAUCUGGCCGAAGUCGAUGUCGGCUACGUCCACUGGAGCAACUGGCUCCGGUACACCCUCGUCAUGGGGUAUCUCGGUCCCGAGCUCGGUAUUAUACUCCACCUCGGAGCCGCCCUCGCUGAUCUCGGACGAUUCCAGUUCCGAGGCUAUCUCUCCGGCUCUCACCUCGGUCGAUCCUUCCUCAGAACUCUGUGCCGACCCCUCCGAGCUGGACGUCGUUGCUUCUUCCUCAGGAUCCGCCCUCACCUCGGUCUGGUAGCUCGGGGUCACGGUUUCUUUAUGGGUUUUAGCCGUUUUGGCCAUGAGUGAAAGACGAGAUAAGAAAGAAAAGGGAUACUUACUAUCGUUUACGGAACUGGACGAAAUGGAUGACUUCGGCUAUGAUCUCGGCUGGAAAAACUGACCUCGGCAACACUCGCAAAUUUUGCAAGUCACAAGCGAAGAAAGAAAGUGAUGGGCCAUGCGGUGAAAGGGACCACCUAUUUAUAGGGGAUGGCCAGAAUCCGAAGAGGCGGCAAGAAUACGAAAAGACGACCACGAUCGAAUUCGAAACGCCACGCCUCUCUCUCUCCUCAUUAAUGCCCCGUCCUUUCGACUGAUACCUUCUGCACGAAACGUCCCACUACUUCACGACGCGACGGUUAUCAGUGACCACGUCCUAUCAACUGAUUCGCCCACGUGUCACGUCCCCGCAUCUCCCGGAGUAGUUUUGGGACCCCGACUCUUCACGACUUCGGCACAAAGAAGCCUCGGUACCUCCCUGGCCCGAAGCCCCGAGGCUUGGGGGGCUUAUUGAGGGUGCUCACCUCGGCCACCCCGCGUGUCCGAGGUGAAGUCACCUCGUCCCUCAUCGGAGCCCAUCCCUGUCUUGAGCACAAUCCCAGAGCCCGGCUUCAUCCCUAGUCCACCGUGUAGGUGACCUCGGCACAUCCACCUCGGCCGCACACUGAUGAUGUCAACCUGCCUGACAUCUUCCAGGACCAGCACUUUAUCUGAAAAGCACGGGAGGCACUUGAUGGCACCUGCACCAUAUCCUCCGUCAUCACUCCCAGGCGGCUACAGUGUCAGAGUCAGACUCCCCGACAGGAGACAGAGCCGUAAUGUCAGAGUGGGUCCCACUAACAUAAGUCCAGAGUCUCGCCUCUACUCUUCUAUAAAUACCUCCCUCACACUCCCACCAAGUAAGCGGACACUGUUCAUUAACUCAUUCUCAUUAUUCUCGUUCUCAUACUAACUUGAUCGUCGGAGUGAUACCAGGGGAGAAGCCCCGCCACACACUUCGGACGAGGAGGUUCACUUCGGACACAGGAGUUCACCUCACUUCAUCUCAGAGAGGACUGAUUCAGGUCGGUCUAGUUACCAACCGAAAAUCACCUCCUCAUAACCAAACAAAUAAUUUGACUCAAGAAAGUAGGAGAUUAUAUGAAGAGCCGCCCAUGCGUUAUUCCUCAAUAUUUCAAAACUAGGAUAUAGCCCCAAUCUAACUCUUUCCAUCUUCUCUUGGCGUGGACGGAAGACAUUAAUAGCACCUUGCUACCCCCUUCGGGCAUGGCAUCAAGAAGGCAUGAAUUCCUUCAAAUACAGCCCAAAAAGAUGCGAUGCACCCUUGCGAAAGUGGACAGACCCAAAGUCCAACACAGUAAUAGGUCGUCCAAGUGCACCGGUACAAGCAGCGGAGUGAAGCCUGAUGGGUGGCAGCAACUGCUUGCAAAAGGGAUUGAGGUCAGUCAGACCCGCUUGUGAACUUUUGUGCCUUUUCCUCCCAGAGAAUGGAGGUAGACGCGUUGAGUUGAGAACUAAACUAUCGUAAGCUGAGUUAAGAACAGCGGCACACCCUUUAGAUCACGUGCAUACAAGCAAAUUUCAAAGAGAUCGAGUACAGAACUUCAUUCGCGAAAUUUUUCAUUUGGGUUGGGGGGUUAAGCAUUUAAGGACAAUUACAACUGAUUUUGAAAGACAAGAAGCAUAAUCCCUAUAAGUUGGCACAUAAAAGUUCUAACACCUCAGACAAUGAACCUUGCUGACAUGUACACAACAUCUCUCGGGGUCGGGGUUUUAAGGGCAGUAGUCUGUCAUUUCACCUACUGUAAAAUAAGCAACAAAAUGAGGUUCCUUCGGGUCAGUUUACGUGUCAGGACGACUCUGUCCUAAGUUAUUGCAGCAUUUUAGUGGCCACUGCCAUCUGAUGACAUCUCCUUGCACAUUCUGAAACUGUGCGAGUCAACUUUAACGGGUUCCAGUCCCAGCUACUAUGCUUCCUGACAUUUCCAUAAUUAAAACAAAUUACUAUAAUACUUGAAUCAAAGGCUAUACACCAGAAACGUUGAUAAACAUAUGAAAAACUAUCUACACAAAUUAUUAGAACUGAUACCUCUUGCUCAGACUUUUAUUUUUCCAAUAUUGGUAUUUUAGGCUUAAUUUGGGUGAUGCAAUUUGUUUUUCUUGCUUCACUUUUGGCCCCAUAUUCUUGAAAUCUGUAAAGUAUCAGCACAAAACCAUCCCUAACAUCCUACUUGCAAAACACGUGAUCACCCCCCCAAGUGAGCAACUAUGUUUCUGUCAUUAACCCACAAAAAUACUCAUUUUAGCACCACGUUCAUGCAAAACAAGCAAGAUCAAAAUGCCAAUAGAAAUACAAAAAUGAGCAAAUGAAGCACGGAAGCAAAGUAUUUAGGCCCAAGACCUUUCAAUUACUUUCCUGGUUAAAUCAUAAAAGUUGACUAAAAAGAGUUCUCAGAAAUGCUAUGUUUAAUUAUCAUAAGCAUCGCGACGUCUCUUGGUUCUGAUUAUCAAAAAGGCCAAUCUAGUGAUUAGCACCGGAUAGCCAUGACUAGUAGAUCAAAGGAAUUUACAUAUUACCAAAUUCUCACUGGCUUAAACACACCAAGCUUAUCCUGAUAUAGCUUGCAGGACCUCCAGAAACCAUUGUCCUUAUUUGCCAUCUGUAGAUACAAACAAGCUCACUCAGAUAAGUCUGAGCGCAAGCCAAAUAUGAAAUUCCAUAAAGCAGAUGAAUUAAAAGAGGACUCACUUGAUGGUAUAGAAAUGCGGAGAUGCCAUGGACUAAUAAAUUUGUAUCUCACCAAGAAGAAGUGAUCUAGCCCGAUUGAUUGCAGCAAAGCAGAGACACAAGUGUUCAUCAAGAUCUGUGAGCUGCUGCAAAAAAUUUGAACGGGUUUUGCGAAGCUGCUUCACAACCUCCUGGAUAGAAUGCCUGUCCCUGCCCCUCUCCAAUCCCAGUCGUAUGAGAAGCUUGUCACCCUCAAAUGCCAUGUGCAGACGGGCCACUAGGCGAUCAAUGGUGUCUAAAUCAUUGUGGAGAACAUAAGUCCCCUUUGCAGCAGCAUCAAGCUGUGCCAGAUGGGACACCUCUCUCUUACUCACUUUGGAAGGAAGGCAAACAGGACAUAGGGGGCUGGCAACAAGGGCAGCAAAAGCAUGAGUAGCUACAACCACAGCCGAUAUAACCACUCCAACCGUAGCAGCAAAUAGGCAAACGACAGAGCCUCUAGUAGCAUGAUGAAGGAGGCGUAUUUUCGAUCUUGACUUAUGGAGACGGUGGUCAAGCUCUUGUCUCAGCUGGGAGAAGCAAUGACGCAUAUCAUCAAAGUUGUAUGAACCAGGGCUGGGAAAGGGGUUGUCAAAUUGGUCAAAUUGAAGAAAAAUGUCAAACACCCUGUCACAUUGGAACUGUGACAGGGAAGGAGCACCAUUGUCCAAAUCUUCAGGUAGGAUGUCAAGAAGGUUAUCAAAAGAGGCAUAAAUCAGUCGAGCACGAUGAACACUUCGGUGAAUGAAAAGGCAGAGUCGCGAAGUGGACUCACUGUGCUUGAAGUAAGUAGCAACAAGUUUGGUUAGAGGGCUCAGCCUAAUAUGGGAGAGUGCCUCUGAAACAAACUCAUGACUCGGACGGAGGACCUGCUCUAGCAGCUCAGAUUCCUCAAGAAGCUCCACCUGCCCUACAUCAACCUUUUCAUUGUAAUGGCUGUCAUGGUGAAUUUUAGACCAUAUCUCACUGUAGGAACUGGUUUGAACAGCGCAAGCGUAUUCACGAGUCAGAUUGACAGUUGGAGAGGGCUGAAAACUAGAAGCUGCCGUCCCAUCCACAGAUCCUGUAGUUCAAAUCGACAAUAUUGCAUAAAAAUCAAUAGAGAGCUCACAAGGAGAAUGUCAACGAGUUGAAGGUUGGUUGGACAAGUUUACCUUGGGAAAAGGUUGGGGAAGCAUGGCUGUUCGUAGCUGCAGUUGACGGUGAAGGCCUCAGACAAGGCAGCAUUUGGCCUUGUCCUUUGACGAAGACGACUAGAGAUCAUGAGCACAUUACAGGCUGAAAAAUAUGCCCCAUGAGCCAGGGCAGGAAAAAGCAAGCUAAGAUAACCAAAACUAAAAACUUGACUCUUACACUAAGAUAUAAUAUUCUACAACCACAUGGAUAAAGCACAUCACAAGUGAGAGAACUGAUACCGCAGGAAGACAAAACAGAUACUAAACAUUAAAUUCAAUCUCAUCUCAAUAGGUUCUGCAAGGUGACAAGUUGUAGGGGCAUAGGGAAACUCCAAUCUAAUCAUGCACAAAAGCUUAAAUGAAAAUGCUCAAAGCAUAUCAAAAUCAGACCCAUUUUAAAGCAAAGGAACUCAAUUAAUCUAAGCACAUAUCAGUUUCUAUGCCAACAAAAAAUGAUCGUGACAGUCAAAAAAAUAAGCCAGUUUAUAUUUGGCUCGAGACCAUAAUUCUUAUUCUAGCAAUCAUAAUUUCAAAAGGCAAGUAUACAAGCGCAUCUGUUAGCUACCUUGUACUUGUUCAAUUAUUAAAGCCAAUUUUCUGGAGUUCAUCUCUCAGAAACCACGCAAUAUUAGGGACAAAUAAGACCUCAAUAUUAAGGCCCAAUUAAGAAAUCUUGCUGGAUAGCCAACUGUACUCAAGCCCCAUUGAAUUUAGGGGGUAAAAUUGUUUUUGGCCACAAUGUUGAUAAAUACUUCCCGAAGGUUUUAGGGUUUAUAGUGAAAAAACCAAAAUAUCUGUUUCUUCGGGCAUUGGACAAAGAAAACUUUUACAGACAUUUCCAAAAUACCCAAAAAGGCUAAAAUUUCCUCUGAAUAACCAAUUGCUAGUAACAUGAAAGCGAAGCAGAAAAGUUGGCAUAUCAUCGAACAAAACCCAGAACCAAGAAUCCAACUUAAAUCCAAUCGAAUACUGGAGGCAGAAGGACAGCAUAACGUGAAAAAUGGGCUUAACCAACCCAAACCCAGUGAAAGGAUCCAUUUCUAUCCAAUAGAGACGACAUACAAAUGCAAACAUACUUGAAGUGAAUAAGCUUAAUUAGAAUAAUGGGGUGGAUGCUCAUACCUGGUAAGAGUAGUAAAAAGACUGAAUCUUUCAAGCUCAAUACUGAAUGAAAAAACAAAGAAAGAACUCAAAAAGAAUUUUGGGUGGGUAAAUGGUACGGGAGGGGAGGGGAGGGGAGGUAGAGGGUGAACGAAAGAAAUUAGUCGUCAAGGAGUUGCCUGAGGCGAGCUUUGAUGUAAUCCUUACGGGCCUGAGUGCGGGCUUGUUGAGGGGCGAUGUUAGUAAAGGAAAGGUAGGCCCCAACGGCGAAGAAGGAAGCACCGGUGACCAAGCCGCAGACCGUAAAAGUUAACUGCUUUGGUGUGGGCGGGUACGACCAUAAGACCAUCUCUCUCGCUCUUCUUCUUCUUCUAGUUUGAGGAAGGCAGGGACUGGAAAUAUGGAAGUCCCUUAUUUUCAAUUGAAGUGAAAAAUUGUUGCGGCGAGACAAGUUCCUUUUUUUUUUUUUUUUUUCAAAUAAAGUAAACUUUUUUUUUAUUAGAGGAGAAAAUGAAACAUUGAAACCCAUGUGGUGUGCUUGACUUUUUUUUUUUUUUUUUUUUCUUUUGUCAAAUGUCAACUAGUAUGUAUCUGUGGUGUGCUUGACUUAAGCUAGUGAUUGCUAGUUUGCCGCUGCAUCUGCAGCCGGUGUCCUCUUCCUCUUCUCGAGUGACUGAGUACUCCCCAUUUAUUUUUCAUUUUUCUUUUGAGUAAAUUUUAUAUAAAUUGUUAUUUAGUGUACAAAUUAUCACGAUUAGAUGAAUGAGACGUGAGCAAAUUUUGUAUUUUAAAUUCAAAUUUUAUACAUAUAUCAUAUAUCUAAUAGUAAAGGUGUAUACACUGAUGGUGUAUAUAAGAUUAAUCCUGACAGUGCAUACAUUAUUACCAUUGAAUCUAUAACACAUGUACAAAAAUUGAAUUAUAAAUUUAAAUUUUACAUAAUUGUCAUUCAUUUAACACUGACUGUCAGUGUAGAAAAGAUAUCCUUUCUUUUUUUUUUUCUUUUUUUGUUAGCUGUUAGGUACUCCCAAGCUAGGGGAGUCUUGCUGGGGAAGUCAAUACUAGUCGUAGUAUUUUGCCCCAGAAAAUUACUAAUCCUACUAGGCUAUUUGUCAAAGUUGUUAUGGGUCUUAUGGCUCUUAAAAAAGAAAUGUAGAAAACAAAAGUGAAAAAAUAUGUAAAGUAGCAGUAUGAAAUUGUGCUAGGUAAGGUUUCUAACCCUUUUUCCCUUUGAAAUAGAAAAAGGAAAAAAAUAUGCUGGUUUCAGGUUCCACUCAUUAUCUAGAUAUUCUUUGAAAAUGGUUUUUCUCUGCUUUGAUUGUUCGUGUGCUAAAAGUGUUGUUUUUAAAAUUUUUGAAAUAUAAUUGAUCCUUUGUCGCUAGUGCAUAAUAUAAAUAAUUGUUAAAUGAUUGUACACCAGUAAUUAUGAGAUCACCAUGGUGAACAAUGUGAACAUCAUCUAGCCCAAAGGGCCGAAAUUGCCCUUAGGAAUUUUUGCUUCAUUCUAAUCCGAAUUUUAGUACUGUUGUGAAAAUUCAUAAUUGUUCGCUAUUUGAUGCUUAUUCCGCGUCAAUGUGUUAUAAAUCUUCACAGCAAGAACAAGGAACACAUGGAUAAAAGUUGCUUUCGUUGCACUAGUGUUGUUAGACUCGGACCGAACGGUCCGGCUAGUUCCAUCUUGAACGAAUUUUCUUUUCGAGUUGAUUUGUAGUACAAAAUUAUUUUGAUAAAAAAAUAGACGAAACCGUCAAAAAUCGAUUAAAUCAGUGAUUCGGUUUGACUGGUUUAUCCAAUUCUCAAACUUUUCUUUCUUAUUUUCCCUAAACAUAAUUUGAGUUAUCUAAAUUGUAAUAGAAUUAAGAAAUUGCCACUCACUUAGUGUAAAUGUUAAAAUCACUCAAUUUUCUGAAUGAUUUUUAAAUCAAGAUGUUUUCAUUAUGAUCUUAUUAAUUUAGCAUCAAUGAUUCUAACUUGGAUUAAUUUGUUUUAAUUGAGUUUUUCAAGUAGUUUUGGAGAAUGAACAUAUUUUAACUAUGAAUUUAUAUUUUUAUAUAUAAUUAUUAGGUGUAUAUUGCAAGUUUAAUAUUUUUGAAACUUAUAAAAAUAUAAAAUAAUUAUACCAUCAUACUAACGUCAGUGAGUUUUUGAGAGCAGUGUGAUCAAUCUGACUAGUUGCAUGCUGGCCCAAUAGUUUAACCAAGUCAUUAUCCGGUCUAAAUUUAACAACAUUGCAUUGCACCUCCUCUUUGAUUUGAAAUGGACCUUUGAGAGCCAAACCUACAUGCGUUUCUCCCCCAAAUUCACAGCUUCUUCUCCUUCCAUGUAUCCCACGCUAACUAAAAUUCUUGUUUCAUAUUUUUCUAUCACGUUGGACUUGCGAUUGCUUGGAGAAAACAACAACUACAUCCCUAGGUGUAUGUAAUCAUAACUUUCUUGGUAUUCAGCAUCAAUUGUAGAAAAUUUGUGAAUGAGUCACCAAAUGUUCCACUUUUCCACAAGUAGAGAUCUUGAAGGUUUUGAACUUCAAUUAACACCAGUAUAUAUAUAUAUAUAUAUAUAUAUUUUUUUUUUUUUUGGAAACACGAGGGUUCCUGGAUCUAAAUUAUAACAAUUGCCUGUGCGAAAACUGUUUUAGCACACAUGAAUGAUGGUCAAACUUAUAUAGGCUACCUUCAUAGUUGGAAGGACAUUCUUCCAAGUCUUAGCCUUUACCAUCUUCUGAAAGAGCUGAAAAUGGUCAUGCUCCUAUUGAAUCUGAGCAUGGCUAUCCAAGUAAGUAGUUGCAACUGCAGCAUGAAAAGCCGCUCCGAUGGGAAGAGCUUCUUCAUCUAUGGCAAAGUAGGGUGUGUGUAUAUCUUUUAUUGAAUCCAUCGUCUUAUUUCUUAUCCCUAUCUUAAAGAAUGCAGCUCGCAUUUUCUGCCCGUAGAAACUGAAGUCCUCAGCCCCCAUCGACAUUGGAGUAAGCUGCACUCCGUUUUCCCCAAGUAAGAUGUCUCCAAUUCUUUUUGCAUGUUUGUACAUUGAAGGAUCGUUGACGGUUGGUCUGUAAGCCCUCAGUUUCUCCUCCAUGAAGUCAACAGUAGCAGUACAAUGGUAUACAUGCGCUUGAAUUUCUAUGACCUGAAAGCAGUGCACAUACAGAAUAGUAUUGCAUUAACACUUGUGUGAACAAUGCCAACAGAACAUUUAAAAGUGCAGACAAAGUGAUAAUAUCCCAAAGAGGCAUGAAGUGGUCUAUGCCUCCUCUUGUCAUGCAUGCUUAAACACAACAAAUAUCAAUUCUUUUAACACCAGAAUGUGAUAAAAUUAUGCCAUGAUGAUUUGUUGAUCUUGUAUCAGUGUUAAGAAGUAAGAACAAUUUUGGAGCUAAUGUUGAUGACACUCCGAAGAAUAUUUCUUUUAAUGAUAAUACCUCCUUGAUCCUUUGACGAAGGUAGGAAAAACUUUCAGAGGUCAUGAACCGAAAUGUGCCUCCAAACUUAACUGUCUCAGGGAUCACAUUUCCUGCUUGACCACCCUCAAUGGAUCCAAUAGAAACCACCUUCACCAAAAUAAAAUAAAAUAAAAACAAAGUCUCGGUGUUUCUUCGAACUUGACUUUGCAGGACCAAUUGAAUAGCACUAGCAAUUUUAACAUGUAAAUUCUAAUGAAUGUUCUAAAGGAGAAAAUACCCUGGCCUCUAGAGGAUCAGUUUCUCGAGAAACAAUCUGCUGCAGUGCAACAAUUGCCAUGGAAGCAGCAACAAUUGGAUCUCUAGUUUUAUGAGGUGCUGCUGCGUGUCCACCUAUGCCUUGAACUAUUGCUGAAAACCUGCCUGAUCCAGCUAGCAUUGGACCUGGUCUUGAACCGACAGUACCUACAAACAUCUCUGGGGAAACAUGGAGGCCAAAAAUGGCUUCAACCCCUUCUAGUGCUGCUUCUUGUAAGACAUGAUAUGCGCCAGCAUGACCUUCUUCACCAGGUUGGAAGACGAGCUUAACAGUCCCCUAUGAAUUUAAAGAGUAGAAUAUUCUGAAUGCACCUAAUGCAUUUUAAGGCACAGGCUCAAUGCUCAUCUUUAUUUCCAAAAUUGGCUUUUCCUUGUUAAAAUCUUUCGAAAGAGUAAAGGAUUGGAUAUCAUGUCCUACCUUGAGAUUAUUUUUGGUGUUCUGAAGCAAUCUAGCUGCUCCAAGCAACAUGGUGGUAUGAGCAUCAUGACCACAGGCAUGCAUUUUACCAUUGAUUUUGCUUUUAUGCUCCCAAUCCACCAAUUCCUACAAGUUGAGAGUAUUGGAAAAGUAUUAGAUUCUGAACUAGCAGAGAUACUUCAUCCUUUUGACAGCAAAUUUUACGAGCACCAUCUAAAGCCCUCUUACUUCUAUUAGAUCACUGGGCCAGGCCUGUCGCUAAAAUCACCUGAUGAAGAGGUCAGGACUACCUUAACUCGUAUACAGAAUCUACUGGGGAAGACGUAAUAUACUAAUUUAUCCUCCUGCAAGCCUGCAACUCCAAACUCAUCUCAUCCCUGAUUUCUUACUACACUAAGGACAUGAUUUUAUACUACAUUAUCAUUUCAUCUUACAGAAAAGAAGGAAAGAGUCAAACGGUGUAUAAUUGCCUCCAAACCGUGCAAGGGCAUGACACCUUAUUCACCACAAAUGGAAAGACCACUAGCAUAUCAAAAUAUAUAUAUAUAUAUAUAUAUAUCUACAGUAAUCAAAAGUUUACAGUGUGAAUAUUUUGAUGGUUGUUUAGGUAAUUUGCCGGCCUUUGCUCAAACAAUAGUCAAUGAUUCAAUUCGUCGAAAAUAGAAAAAACCAGAGUCAUAAAAAACACAGAAAAUUAUUACCCCUAGUUACAAGGGUUGACCGAUGAUGUGAGAAAGAGGGAGACCUGAAUAGGAAGGGCAUCCAUGUCUGCUCUUAGAGAAAAGAAAGGCCGAUUUCCAGGCCCAAUUGUCGCCACCACCCCGGUUUUAGCAACUGGCCAGGCGUACUCCACCCCGAGCGAGUCCAGCUCAUCUCUGAUGAGUUGACUCGUCUUGUGCUCCUCAAAUGCCAAUUCCGGAUACUCGUGAAUUCUUCUCCUAACCCUUUUUAACCAUUCGAAGAAGUCGGACUCCCUUGCCGAUUCCAACAAUCCCCGAAUCAGCAAGUCAUCAGUCUCCGAAACCACCGUAUUCUCCAGGGCCCAUGAUUUGCAGUAAUAGGAUGAAUUCGAUGACAGUAAUAUAGUCAAUACACAGCGCCACCAAUACUCUCUAAGCCGUCCCAUUUCCAGUCAGCAACAAACACAUCAAUUCUUAGGCUUAGGUUUCUCCGUUUGGCCCAUCGAACUCGUUUUUUACUUCUUUCACCUUAGUUACCGGAUGAAUUUGGAGGGACGUUAUUAUAAUUUUAUUUGGAUGGAUAGUGAUAGAUAAUCAAAGCAACUUAGAUUAUAAUGAAAUUAAAAUUCAUGACCUUUAAUUCUCAAGAAUUUAAUGUUAACCACUAAACUAAUUAAGGGUCCAUCGACAUUGAAUACUACUACGUCUAAGACUAAUAGGCAGCAACAGCACAUUAGAGAUUUAGAGUAAACUUGUCAUUAAGCAAGUGCUGAUGUUAACUUGUUAUUGAAUAGGUGUAAUAAGAGGGCUAUCUAUUUAUAUGGGUUAAUAACAAUUUAUCCCCCUAAAUUACAGGAGUAAUCCUACUCACAUUUGUUAAACUCCUUUGUGUACGUAUAAAUUAACUCUAAUUUUACAAUAAAUAAAUACUUACUAGGUACCUGUUAGCCAAAAUCUUUACAUCUCUAAUUAAGAAUAUCAUGAGUCCGCAGAAGCAUAGCUUAACCUUAAUGAUACGGAACACUUACUGGAUCCAAUCGGAUGCUACUGGUGCGGAACCCUUAAUUGGAUCCAAUUGCAUGCUUCAUUUCUCAUGCAGUUUGAGCUAAGCCAAACCACUCAUCAUGAAAGGAUUAACAACGCUGAAACCUCCAUCAACCACAAGUUAUGUAUUCUUCAGGAUGGUUCCCUCCUCCAAUGCCAGUCAUCACGGCAUAAGGCUGCUAAAAAGAUGCAUCCCUCGCUUUCCCGUACCAUGACUCUUGCAGCCUGCUUGCCUCCUAGAAAUGAGUCCACCAAUUUACGGUCUUACACAAAUAAGCGGGUCCAACUCUGACUUGGACGUUUCCAGGAUAUAUACCAAACGCCAAGCCCUUCAAUUAUGUCAAGGUGGCCGUCUUUGGCUAUGUAUGGCGUGGUAUCAAUCAGACAGCUAACUUGAUCCCCUUGCGCUACAUCACAGUGAGAGUGUAUAUAGGAUGCAUUUUUGCCAAGCUUAAAUUGCUCGCCGGCCCAGAGCAUUGUCCAGGAUAUCGGCUACUAUAGCACCAUUGCCAUGAAACAGGCGGGUACAGCUGGAACCUCCCGUAAUAGUUUCCGCCUUUAGCGUCUAUCCUCAAUAAGGGGACGAAAAUGGAACUUGCAUUAGAGCGGUUGGUCGAAAGAGUGCUAGCAGUAAUAGGACCAGCUACAGGUAGUUUUUCAAAAUUUGCAGCCAAACAGAUGGGAAAGUAUCGAAUCCAUGCAACAAUUAAUUAUAUAUCCAUCUUAAUGCUCUUCCAAAAAAAUUUAUUCAUUUUUUGCGCAGUUCAUUUCAUGCCAUCCAGACAGUGAAACAUUUAUUGGGAAACCCGUAUAGCUAGUUUGUGAUCUUGAAGUCGUAAAGAAAUAUAGAAUUGUUUGCGCAAUUUGUUUCCGUUCUAAAGUAAUGUGAUUUUUAGCUGAAGUAAACCGACCGGGCAUAUAAAAAUUGGCUCAAAACGAAUAGAUAGCAUCAUUUUGUCCUUAAUCAGUCUAAAAUUUUGUAACAUCUGCUAAGCUAUUCAUUGAACUGAAAUACAAACCUUUCAUUGGAGGAAGCAACUGACGGAUCAGCGCUUGUCUUAUCCUAAGGGAUUGUACGGAUAUCAGCUGGCCCCCAGCCACGAGUUUGAAAAGAGAAGGAAGGAGCUAGGGAUAAGAGAAGGAGCGACGUUGAAGUCUACCAUGACAAAAAAAUAUUGGCAUUUGAGUGAUCGUUUUAACUUUUGUCAUAAUCUUAACUCAUUUCCACCCCUCAAAUUUUUCAUGCAAGUCCAAGUAUAGUAGACUUUUAGACAAGCUUAAUUUUCAAGUAUGUGGAUUUAGUGGUCAAUGAAAUUAAUUUCAUAAUUAGAUGACGACAAAGCACGGUCUAGUUGGUAAGACGCUUUAUCUGUAAUUGAGAGAUUCGAUCAUUAAGAAAAACUUAAUACAUUAAUACAAAGUUAUCUUAAUUAUUUUGGUACCAAGUGUAUCUUGUUGAACUCAUAAGCAGGGUAAAAGACAAACUGACCUUAAAGCAAUCCUAUCAAAAUUUGAAAUUUAUGAGAGGAAAAGAUCGAAUCUACCACUCCAUGAUAGUUUAAAAUGUCUACAUCUACUAACUUUAGUGCUCAAAUACGGUAAUUAUUUAGUAAUGGUAAUGAUAGUAACAUUAAAUUAUGGUUUGGCUUGCAUGGCAUAUAAUUGGAGUCUUUAUUUUGAUUGAAUUGGGCAGGUAAGUUUGUGUACUGUCCUACUAAAUAUACGUUAAAUACAUCUCCAUCCAACAUUUCUUAAAUGCCGUUGUCUUCACUUCACAGUGCCAGAAUAUCGGGAACGAGAAACCAUAGGAGGAAAAUCAACUUUCACUUUUGACGGGAAUCGCUUCAUUUUGAAUUGUAAUGGCCUAUAUCAUUUGUUGCAAAAGAGGUGGUGUUGUAGACACCAAAGUCUUGUCUCAUUUUUUUUUUUAAUAUUUGACAUUUGCUUGAAUUUUGUCUAUUUAAGGGUCAUUAAUUUUAUGCAUUUAUUUGCCCAUAUUUCUUGUUUUGUAGAUUUUCUUUUGUUAUAAAAAAAAAAGAAGGAGAAGAAAACAUUUUACACUCUCUAAUCAUUUUUUCCUAGCAAAACCACUAUUAACCCAUUUUUACACUCAAUAUCCAUUGACCUUUCUUUUCAUUUUGGUAAAAGUCCAUCAUGUCACCCCUGGUUCUUUCUUGUCAUUUGAUCAACUAAUUCCUUUGCCCCUCACCCUCGGCUCUCUCCUUUUCUUUUCCGCACAAAAGCCACUCUCACACACUCUCUUAACUCACGACACUUCCACUACACAAACACACGCAAAGAAGAAAAACUCCUCCACUCUCACUCUCGGUCCUCCUCACUUCAAAAAAUUUCCAGCGCACUUCCAUUACACAAACACACACCAAUACAAAAUCACUCCCCUCUCUCUCGGCUCCUUCCUUCUAUAGCUACCUUCCUACAAACCAUAAAAAAAAAAAAAGAAAAAGAAAAGAGAGAGAGAGCAAGAAAGGGUAAAAUGCAAGAUCAAAGUGAAGUUGGAAGCUCGUUGCCAGCGCCAUUGCCACCAUCGCCGCCAUAAUAAUCUCUUUGUAAAACCAUUGUAAGUCUCUCCUUUUACUUUUGAUUUUGAUUCCAACAAGAUAGUUUUCUAAAAAUUUGGUAAAGAUUUAGUUGAUUCUUAUUUUAUAUAAAAUUGGUUCGGUUCUUUUCUUCUUUCUUUGGCUUUGAUGAUCAAUAAUUUUGUGGGUCUUAUGAAAUGAAUUGGUUGCUAGUGUUGUUGAAGUUUUUGGGACAAGUCAUGAAUAAAAUAAAGAAAAAAGAAUUGGUCCGUGAAUGCAUGUUAAGUGUUUGUAAAAAUGCCAUGAUGAAAAACGAAUUAAGCUAGUGAACUUUUUGUACUUAUUUCUAGUGAAAUAGAUGGAUAUAGUUAGUAUGUGAUUUGAAAAAUAUUGAAUUAUUUAAAUGUUUUGAAGUUUUGAGCUUUAGAAGCAUGUAAAUAUAUAUUUUUUUUCAUUUUGGGCUGUUUUGUUUUGAUUCAUCACUUUGUUGUUGUUUUUUUUGUUAAAAUAAAAUCAUAUAGUUGUAUUGUAGAAGUUACAAGGAGUGUUGUAGUAUAAAUUUUAUAAUUUUUGGUGAAGGUUUGACUGCUUUAAAAAAAUAAAAAUUGGGCUGUCGUUUUGCUAUUUCAUCACUUUUGGUCCAUUUUUUUGUAAAAACUAAACCAAAAAAUGGAUUCUACGCGAAAAAUCGAGUGAGGAGUGUGUUUUGGUCAAAUUCGUGACCGGAGAGUUAGCCGGCGACCGGUGACCGCCAGUGGCUGAAGUUUCAGCCUCACUGGAGAGAGAAAAAAAGAAGAGGAAGAAGAAGAAAAAGGAAAGAAGAGAGAGAAAAAAGAAAGAAAAGGAAAGAAAAUAAAUGAAAGGUUGGGCUGGUUUUUUAUUUUCUGGUGGGCUAACGUUUUUUUUGUCGGGCUUUUGUCUGAGCUGUAGAGCUAUUAGACACUUGGACUUGCAUUUGAUUUUAAUAAAAAUACCCUGUGUUUUCUUUUGGGCUAUAGGGAGUCCGGCUCAUAGUAUUAAAAAAAAGAAAGAAGGCCCAAUUUUUUAUUUAUUCAUUAUUACCCAAAUCAGAAACAAAUUUUGUACUUUAGCUCCUGAUCUUUUGAGUAAUUUUAUUUUGGCCCAAUAUUUGUAGAUUUAUUCCACUUAGGAUCUUAAUUUAAUUUCAAUUUGAUCCCUAAGCUUUUGAAAAAUUAUAUUUUUACCACAAAAUUUUCUAAUUUUUGCAAUUUAGUCUCACUGUGACUUUUUGACUCUCUUAAUUAUAAUUUUUUUUCUUUAAUACCUAAUUAUGUUAUUUUUGAAUGUAUUCAACUUGUAAUUUUUAGAUAUCCUUAAGUUUUUUUAUGUUUGAUAUAUUAAUAUGAAUUUAGUAUUAUUAUUAUUAUUAUUUCCAAUUAAAUUGGUGCGAUGAUUCUUUUGUUCAUUUUGAGUAUAAAUAGGGCAAUUUGACUCUAUAUAGUGACUACUUCAAAAGGAAGAUACCCCUAUUAUUAUUUAAAUGUCAAUUACGUGCUCUUAUGUGGUCAUUAGGGGCGGGCAAAAUUAUCCGCUAAGCCGAAAACCUGUUAUAUCCGAUCCGAUCAAAUCCGAAAAUUAGGAUAUUCGAUUUUUAUUAUUUGAUCGAGUCAAAAGAGGAUCGGGUAUCCGCUAAGAUGCGGGACGGGUUAGGGUCAUAUAAUUAAAAAUCCACGGGUACCCGAUCCGUCCUGUAUAUAUAUAUUUUUUAUUUUUAUUUUUAUUUUUAUACACACACUAUAAAAUAAUAAAUUAGAACUAAAUAAGUAAUUUUAUUGAAUAAAUUGCAUUACAAAUAUGAGAGACUAUAGUUUAUUUACAAGAUUCAUUUAUAAAGGCCAUGAUCUUAUAUUUUAUAGAAAAAAGCUUAAUUAAUGUGGAACAUAUAUAUUAAAAAUUGUGCUACUUAUUUCAAACUUUUAUUGAUUUUGAAUUCUUUUAAUUUUUUUUCUUUAUCUUAUAUUCUCUUCAUAUGUUUGUUUCUUGGUGGAAAACCUUUUUUUAGAAAAAAAAAUUAUUAAAUCUUAGAUGAAUGUGUAAAAUAUAAAAUUAAAUUGGUAUAAAUAAUUUUUUUAAAAAAAUUAAAUGAUAAAUGAGGCAGGACGGGUACCUGCUGAUCCGACCCUAUCUCAGUGGGUAUCUGUUAUAGGGUACCCGCUGAUAUUUGGGGUGGGUAAGGGUCAGAAAAUGGCUGACUCGCAAGGUGCUGGUCGAGUCAGCCAAAUGGUGAAUGGGGCAGGUACCCGAUCCGCGCCCACCCUUACGGGUACCUGCUGAUAUUCGGGGUGAGUAAGGGUCAGAAAAUGGCUAACCCACAAAGUGCAGGUCGGGUUAGCCAAAUGGUGAAUGGGCGGGUACCCGACCCGCAUCCACCCCUAAUGGUCAUACGUGCUCCUCUAUAUUUAUAUAUUUUUAUAUGCUUUGUUAUUUAUUUGAUUCAAAUGUUCAUUCAAAUUUUCUUAUAUUUGUUUAGUUAAUUUUUAUAAUUAUUUGGGAGGAAUUUAAAUACUUCAAGAUGUAAUAAAUAGGUAAUAUUUUUAAAAAAUUGUAAUUAGAUAGACAAAUGUAAUAGAUAAGAUAAACAGGUUUAUUUUAUUAUAUUUUUUCAUUUUAGAUUAUAAUUAGAUUCCCUGUUGUAAUAGACAGGAUAGAUUGGUUUAUUUUAUUAUAUUUCUCCAUUUUAGAUUGUAAUUAGCCUCCCCGCUGUAAUAUGUAGGUUUUGUGUGUGUGAAUAGCUUUUGUGUUAUGUGCUUUAUUCCAUAGUUAUUAAACCCGGCCCGGGGAGGAACCCGGUGAAGGAGGUGGGUCAACGGGUUAUUGGUUCAACCGGUGGGUCAGUGGUCUAACCGGUGGGUCACUACAUAUAUUUAAAUAUUAUGUUUUAUAAUUUUUAUGCCAUAAUAAAUAUUCAGUUAGUUUAAUUUAUUAUAGAUUCAUUAAUUUUUAUAAGAAUUAACAACCUAAAUUUAAUUAGUAAUCCACCAAAUUUCAAGUAUAAAAUUUUAUCUAAGUAUAAUUAUCUAGUUUAUUUAUGAAUUUUAAGUGCAAAAGUUUAUUAAGAAUAAUAUUUACCAUUAAAAUGAUUUGUGUAAUAUGUUAUUUUUAAGUCAAUUUCAUAAUUUAUAGAGUUCAGGGAAUAAUAAAAAUAUUAUUAAAAGAUUUCAAAUAAAUUUUGUUUUGGAGAAAUAAAAUAAGAAUAAGAUUGUAAUAUAUAAUAUAAGAACAAAGUAACUAAUAAAUUGUUGGUUGGUCCAACGGUAAUGGUUGUCUUCUUCUUUGCAUGAGGUCGCACGUUCUAUUCUCAAUUCCAGCAAUGUUUACAAAUUUUUUUCGAAGACCGGGUUUUUCAUAAAAUCGGCCGGUUCAACCGCCGGUCCGUUGAAAAGUCAACGGGUUCAAUGCAGAAAUCAUAGUUAUUAAAACCAACCCGGACAUUAACCGGGCAAGAGGACCGGGUUGACGGGUCAGUGGUUCAACCGGUAGGUCACUGGUUGAACCGUUGGGUCACAAUAUAUAAUAAAAAAAAUAUAUAAUAUAAUUAAAUAAACAUGUAAAUUAUAAUAUAAGUACAGAAAUUCUUAAAUCUCAACAAGUUAUAACCUAUUCAUAGUUCAUAAUUCAUUUCACACACAUAAAUAUAAGUAUCAAACCAUGAAACAUAAGUCAUAAACGACCAAUUCAAUACAACCAAACAUAAAGUCAUGAACAUAAACAAAGCAUCAUAGAAUUGCUCCAAGGUUUGUAGCUCAUCAGUGAAUGAAUCUAAAUUUGAUUUGACAAUUUGAAACCUUAAAAAGACACUGGCAACAAUAUCUACUUUUUGAACUAAUAUAUCAAUGACGGGUUCGAGGCAAGUGAUUAAAUAUAGGUAAUGAAUUUAACCAUGUUGAAAUUAAAUUCUCAGAAGCAAAGAGUAUUAAAUGGCACUGGAAAUUUAUGUAACUACACAUGUUGAAGUUCGAUGCAGAGGAAGAAGAAAUAAAUAAUCAUCCAAAAAGAAAGAAGAAACAAAAUAUUGCCUGCGGUCAGAGAAUUCGGAGAGACUUAACUCCUUAAGAGAAUAGGGAGAGAGACCGUCAAACUCCACAAGAGGAUUGAGAGGAACAAAGCUUCCUGGAAGCGGCAGCUUCGGUGGCAGCGGCAGCGGCAGCCUCGAGUACUUGGAGCUUCGAUGGUAGCAGCAGCUUCAGUAGCAGCUGUAGUGGUAGCUUCGAGUACCUGGAGCUUCGGUGGCCGCGGCAACUUCAGUAGCAGCGGCUGCGGCAGCUUCAGUAGCAACGGCAAUGGCAACGGCAGCUUCAGUAGCAGCGGCGACUUCCUUGAAGAACUUCGAACUUUCAAGUUCCAAUUGCUUGCCUCAAACUUCGAACUGCCAGUGCUGACAAAACAAUGGCCGAAUCCCAGAGAAACAAUUCUCCAUUUGUUUUGUUCUCGCUUCUCAGAGAAACAAAGAAGAAAGCAAUCCCUAAUGCCUAAAUCCCCAAUGACGGCCAAUUGGGCCACAUGCCCGAUUCCCUCUUCAUUCUUUAAUUUUUCUGAUUUUCUCUUUUAUUUGGCUAAAAAGACGAUAAUGCCCAUGUAGUAUAAAUGGUCUAAAUAAAAAAAUUGGAUAAAACGGUAACUUCAAAAAAAUUACCAAAACCCACCGGGUUUAUCAAUAACCGCCGGUUCUAGCGGUUCUAUGGUUAAACCGUCCGGGUCGAACGGGUCAAGGCGGGUUCUUUGCAACUCCGAUCUAACUAGAAAACCAGUCCGGUUUCAUGACCGGGCCACCGGUUUGACCGGUCCGACCGCCGGGCCGGGCCGAGUUUAAUAACUAUAGCAGAAACGAUCUUGUUAAGAACCCGGCCCGGUUUCAUGGCCGGUUCACCGGGUUGACCGGUUGAACUGCCGGGCCGGGCCGGGUUUAAUAACUAUGCUUUAUUCUUUUUUUUUUUUUAGGAUUUUUGCAUCUAGAUAUUAUACUUAUAUGUUACGUGCUACAUGCUGUUAUGUGUGUAUUUAUUUUAAUUUAUAUCUUAUUCGUUUUACUGUAUAUUAUUAAUGCAUGACGUCACCACACUAGUCUAACGCUAGUUGUGGCUUCCCACUCCACUUAGAAAUGGGGUAGUCCAACAUUAGACCCCUUAGAUCGUCCAUGUGUUACAUUCAUCUUUUGCGUGACAUUCAUUAUAUUUUCAUGCAUAUUUUUUAGGAUUUUUUUCUCAUUUGCAUGAUAUUUCCUAUUAUAUUAUUCUCUACCCUUUACCCUCUACAUGUGUUAAUCAUAUCAUUUAGAAUUGUAUUUUAUUUAAAAAAUUGUAAAAUAAAUUAGUUUAUUUACUUGUCUAAAUUAGGAGAAUUACUUUUUGAAUAUAGGAAAUGAGCAAUUAUAAUUUUUUAGUUUAAAUACCCCGUUGAUUCAUAUAUAAGAAAAAUUAUGUCAUGAGUUUUUACCUCCCAUAUCCAUUAUGUUGCAUUCCCCAUUCUUUGCCCAUUUAUACCUAGAUAUAUAAUUUAAUUUUCUUUUCUUUUCUUUGAAUUUCAUAUAUGCAUGCUCAUGACCUUUUUAAGAGAUUAUUUUGGAUUUUGCAAUUAAUGCGAUUGGUAUCAAUUAAACCAUUGAAUGGACAUUUUAUCCCUUCUGAUAUUUUCUAUAAAUUUAGAUUUGCAUUCAUGUAGAAAAAUUUCAAACGUGAUAAAUUUAAGGGUUGGAUUAGGAAAAUUUUGAUUAAACUUCGCAACUAACUUAGACUAGGUUGAAAUGGUGCCUUAGGUUUGAAACCUUUGUUUUCCUUUUCUUCAAAUAUGACUCUCGAACUCAUUUUUUUCUUGUUUUUCAAGACCUGGAGUUGUCGAAAAGAGUUUUAUUUUAUUUAUGUUUUAUUUUAAUUUUGUUAAAAAAAUAUUUUUUGGGUGAUUUGAUACAUCCAAACUCAAUAUCAAGUGACGACUCUCAUUUUUUCUUAAAAACUUUUUUAAAUUAAAUUUUGGACUUAAACUGUCGUAUUCUUUAAAGUUUCAUUUUAGAUCUUUUUUUACUUAUUUUUAAAUAAAAAUAACAUCUUUUGUAAAUGCGUUUUUAUCGCAAAAAUGGGGCGCGAAAGGUGUAGUGAUUGAUAUUCUUCAAAUGUAAAUUCUAUAAUAAUAAUAAUAAGUGAUGUAUAUCUUUAAAUUCAUAAGUGAUGCAUUCAAAACGUUAAUGUUUAUAAUUGAUAGUGCAUAAAAAUUUUAUCUUAAAUAAAUUAUUAGUUAGUCGAGAAAUGUCAACUAAAUUUUAUCAGCGAAAGCAUUGUAUUCGGAACAGGCUGCUCAGGGGAAGCAGGUUUAACUCUGGUUUUUCAUUUUUCUUUUUCUUUGUCUUACGUGGUAUGUAGGAUUCCUCUACACGAGGAGAACAAGCCAGUGAAUAUUCUGCUUUUGUUUGCACACGGAUUAUUUUUUCCCUAGUGUGAUGAUAGGUGCAUGCUGGCCUUGAGUUGAUUGCCUAAAGCGCAUUUUCAUUAAUGAGAUUUCCACCAGCCGACAACCUACUCUUUUAAUAAUUCUUAAACAGCAUUAUCGUUUGUUUGAUACUAUUAAAAUAAGAAAUAAAAUUCCUAUCCUUUCUUGUAAAUGUCUUUCUGCUUUACUAACUGAAUGCUAAUUAAACCAGCACUGGCAAAUAGCAACUCUUGAAAGCAGAAUUGCUACUACUAGAAAGUAAACAAGGUUGCUUCUGUGGGGUUUUUUCUCUGAUCUGAAGCUCCCCAUAGCUUCAGCUGUAAACGUUUUCUCGGUCAUUAUUAGCCGUCAGAAUUUCGACAACCCCCAACACUCCCUCUCUCUCUCUCUCUCUCUCACCCUCACCGAGCAGUGGCAGCUGCCUCCGCAUUUUCAGCCAUGACAAGAAGGUGUGUUUUUAAUUAACGUUACAAGUUUUCGGAUGGAUGUAAUUAAUAAUCGAAAAAGAGAAAUGCAUGGGGGAGUAGAGAAGGAAUGGAAAAGCAAUGCCAAAGAGGGCAGCAAAAUUCUCAUAGUAGCUGUAUUUGGUAGGCCACUGUUUGCAAUUUAGGCAUCGAACUAAGCCCAAAAAAAUCACGUCAAGAAAAUUCUAGGCAAAAUUCAAUUAAAACUGGGAUUGGUGGCUUCAGAAAAAAAAUUAAAUGAAAUCAACAAGAUAUGUUGACAAAGUAAAAUUACUCAAUAUACGCCUGUUACAAUCAUGUUAUAUUCUACAGGCUAGAAGGGAAGGUAGCACUGAUAACCGGGGGAGCCAGCGGCAUUGGAGAAUGCACUGCGAAACUCUUCUCCCAGCACGGUGCCAAAGUUGCAAUCGCCGAUAUCAAAGACGAACUCGGCCACUCCCUCUCCGACGCCUUGGGUUCAUCUAAUAGUACCUACAUCCAUUGUGAUGUCACCAAUGAAGAUCACAUCAAAAAUGCCGUGGAUAAAACAGUAGCAACUUAUGGAAAAUUGGACAUCAUGUUCAAUAAUGCAGGAAUUGCUGAUCCCAACAAGGCCCAAAUCAUUGACAACGAAAAAUCAAUGUUUUCAGAAUCGGAUCGGACCGGCCAGUUCAAUCGGUUGGACCGUGAACCGGACAGGCCAACGGUUCGGUCUAGAGCUAAACCCGGAGAGUAAUCAAGAACCGCUGGAAACCGGAUGACUCGGACGAACCGGAAAACCCCGCUUAGACCGUGAACCGGCGGUUUUUAAAACUUUUCAAAAUGAAUUUCCAAAUUGCAGUCGCCAAGAGCCGAACACCAAAUCUUAUGUUUGUCAUAAGAAGCCCUUACCACUAAACCAUAGGCAGCGGACAGAAUUAUUUGGUGCAGAUAUCUACUUAACUUAUUAAAUGAAAAACUAAAAACACCCUAAACCUAAGAUACAUCAAACUUAUUUCUUUGUAUAUAAAAAAUAUAUAAAUGCAAAGAUAGUAAUAAUUGUUAGUAUAUGUAUAUAUAUAAUAAAUUAGGUGCAUUAAAUGUGUUAGGACAACCGUUAAAAAAAUCCUUUAAUAAAAUAGUUUUUUCAAAUUAUUUUUUAAAUUUUUGUAGAAAAAUGUACCACAACGAUGUAAUAUGUGUAGAAUAAAAAUAAUCAAGAAAUAAAUUUGUGAAAAAAUAAAAAAAUUAAAAAAAUGACAAUCCAAACAAGGUCUAGUUUGGUAACUAAAUUGAAUUGUUUAGAUAAGUUAUUGUUUUAAAAAAUUUUAAUUACAUCAGAAACACUUGUGCUUUACAUCUUAAAUAUAUUGUUGGUAUAUCUAUGUUUGUUAAUGUACUCCCCUUGAUUAUUAAUGUAAUCCCCUUGAUUUUUUAAUUUGUGAAAAUAAAUAAAAAUACUUCGACUUUUAAUUUCAGUUACAAUCUCACAAUAAAAUAAUGGUUGAAAUGCAAUAAUAGAUAGAAAGAUUGAGUAGGGAUAUUCUUGCUCAAUUGACAUUGUAGACAAGUAUUUAGGAAAAAAAUUGAUAAGUAAUUAUUAUUUUUAAAAAUAUUUAUAAUUACAUUGUACACAUUCGUACUUUACAUCAUGACUCCUUGAUUUUUUUUUAUUUGUGUGAAUAAACAAAAUACUUAAAAAUUUUAAUUUCAAUUACAAUCUCAAAACAAUAUUGUAGGUAGUAAGAUUGAAUAAGGAUAUUGUUACCUAACUGACUGGUAAAUAAAUAUUAAAUAAGGGAACAUUGAUAAAUAAUUGGGCGCUAAUAACAAUUUUCUAAUGGGCAAAAAAUGUGAAUAUGGAGAAUUUUUUUCUUUCCAAUGAAUAUGGACUGAGUGAGAAAGUCAAAUGGCCGAAUUGAAAACACAAAUUUGAAAAAAGUUAAAAAAGAAUUAUUUUUUAACCCAAAUUAUUUAAUGCUACAACCACUCACUUUUAUCUCAUUUUUUGUUUCUUAUCAAGUUUGCAUUUCUAUUUUCGAUUCUCUUGACUUCCUUCGAACUCCAAACUUUCUUUUUUAAAUUGCAAUCUCUAAAUCCCAAAGGCAUAAAUUAAAAUUUAAGUUUACAAUGUCAAAUACUCAUAGACAUGAAUUUUGUAUAAUUUCAAAAUAUUGUGAUAUUUUUGGGUUAGAUUUAAGAUUAUUUUGGUAGAUAUAAUUGAAAUUGAAAUGAAAUUUAUUUGUUUUAACUUAUAAUUUAAAAAAUUUAUUUUUGAAAAUCCAAGUUAUUCAAAAAUAGUAAACUUUUCAUCAUAUAAAGUUUUAAAUUAGUCUAUUGCAUGUCUUAUUUUGUGCAUAUAUAUAUAUAUAUUUAUAUUUAUAUAAAUUAUUUUUUAAAAAAUUCAUUGAACCGAGGUUGAACUGGUCCGACCGAUUGAAUCUCGAUCCUUUCACUUAACCGGUUCAAUUGACGGUCCGAGUUUUAAAACAUUGCGAAAAAUCAGACUUCGAAUGCGUCCUGAGGAUCAAUGUAACGGGGUUUUUCUUGGGAUGAAACAUGCUGCUAGAGUCAUGGUCCCUGCUCGAAGCGGAAGCAUAAUUUCCUCGGCCAGCUUAGCCUCAGGGAUUGGCGGUGCGGCAUCGCAUGCUUAUACUUGUUCAAACUUCAAAGCACGCUGUAGUUGGGCUGACCAGAAAUUUGGCGGUAGAGCUGGGCAAUUUGGGAUCAGAGUCAAUUGCUUUUCACCCUUUGCAUGCGCAACACCUCUAUCCACCAUAUUCGUGGGGCUUGAGGACGAAGCUUUUGAGAAUGCCAUGAAUUCGAUGUCAAAUCUUAGAUGUAAGCAAUAUCUAUUUGGAACUCAAUUUCACCGUGGUGUGCAGAUAAAUUAUGCACAAGGGGGCUGCCUAAAUUUGUUCCUAUAUCCAAACAUUUUGGUUUGUUCCGAGUUUUUUCCUUUUUCCUUCCUCCCCCCCCCCGGGGGAAGUCUUGCGAGCUUCUAGAGCUUCGUAAAGAUAUACAGCCCUCGUUGGUGCUUGAAAUUAAUAAUUAAUUUGGGACGCAACUGUCGGAAUUCGCAUAUAAUCGGACGGAGCAAUUGCAAGUGUUUGAUGAAAAUCACCACUAGCUGCCUUGUCGAAUAUAUAUAACGACCAUCUUCACAUGGUUAUUUAGUUGGCUUGUCAAAUGAAUAUUCGUUGGCAUGUACAAUGAUUCAACUGGAGACAUUGACCACAGUAUAUAGUUUUCAACCCAAAACAGUAGUAGUUAAUACGUAAUUUCCCAUCUCUUGUGGGGAGGACUUGAACAAUUACAUAUAUCACACGUACGAUAUCGGAUGGACACUAUAUAUGUUCUAAACAGUUAUCAAUGAAGAAAGAGGAGAUGUAAAUGUAAAUGCGCUGUGAGUAUUUAUUAGAUGAAAGAGCUUGUGAUCCCCGUUGUGACCAGUAGUAGAGACUAGAGAGAAUUAAGCGCAGCAGAAAAUUAAGACUUCUUCGAGUUUAACCACGGUAUUUUAUAUCUAUAUAUAUAUAUAUAUAUGUAUGUAUGUAUGUAAAAGUGAAUAGGGAGCACUUUUGAGAUACUCCCACGUCACAUGCUUCACUGCUCAAUUUGUUUAAGAUUCGCCGAAGCACUCGUCAUGGAAGAGUAUUAACAACGCUAAAACCACCGUCACAAGAAGUUUGAGUCCACUAACAUAACCAGCUUGCUUCAUUGCUGGCCAAAUAUAGGCUAGUGCGGCUUAAUCGAGCUACAUCCUCACCUUUCAAACUCUUCCCUUUCAGAUCAGUCACCCCUAGGUAUAUAAAGGUUUCCUGUCGAGCAAUUUCUUCUUCAGAAGAAUUAAUCCGUCCUCCUAUGGCAGUUGUUAAGGUGACACAUUGUUGACUCGUGCGCCAUGUUCCCCAGGCUCGGUUGAUGAAUGCUUAGCUAGACCCAAAAUUCCAUAUAUGCUUUGUGAUUGCAUAGGCAGGAGUUCCUAGGAUCACACAUGCAUGCUCUUGGCUGUGAAUGAUAUGCAUGAUUCUCGCAGCGCCCCACUUUGCAUCCGCCACUGCUUAUAAUGAUGGACGAUUAAAUGGCAAAAAAACGUUUUCUCCUUAAGCGUCAGAAGGUAUCUGUUGUCCAAGCGCCUGCUAAGGUUAUUUUUUUCUUGUUUUUUUUGGAGCUGGAAUUGAUCGCAGGAUCUAAUUAACAUGAUUUAAUUUAACAACACAAGGGGGUAUAAGAAAUCGUCUUGGAUGAAAUUAAAAAAUGAAGAAACCAAGUUUCGUUUCUGCUGAAUCAUUGUGGUGGAUUCUUGCAAUUCUAGCUUAUGUGCAUGCUGCAACUUUCAACUGGAAACCGUUUUAAGUGCUUAAAGGAAGAAUAUAUCUGCAGUUACCAAGUGCUCUGUGGCUUUCUGCUGAGAAUAGUGACCUGAAGUAUACUAACAACUGAUAUCACAAAGGUAUUCUGUAGAUAGAAUCUACAAAUGUAUGUGGUUCAGCGUUUACCCAAGUCUCUGUGACAUCUUGAAGGUUCUGAGUCUUCUGCAGACUCUGUGUCAAUUAUAGAGGAAAAGUAGAACAGAAUGGUCGGUCGAACCAAUGCAGGUUGGCUGGUGAAGCUAAUUAAUAGGAUUUGAAACAGAGUAACAGAGUUCUGUACUUCGAAUGGAGAGAUGUGCAUACCUUGUCCUUCCAAGGGUUUGUUUGGAUUGAGCAUUAUUUCUCCAAUUUUAUUUGCUUACAUCGAGCCUGUUUGGAACCUAAAUUUUUUGGGAGUUUGUCUAAAACUUUACUGUAGUGCACUGUAGAAGUUUUUGAAAAAAUUUUGUAGAAGUUUUUGUUAGAUGAAAAAUUUUGUAAAAGUUUUUGUAAGGUGAAAAACUUUUUUUUUUCUUUUUUUUUCUUUCCCUUUCUUUUUCUUUUUCUUUUUCUUUUUCUUUUUCUUUCUUUCCUUUUUCUUUUCUUUCCUCUCUUUUUCUUCUUCUUCUUCUUCUUCUUCUUCCCCGUUACCUCCACCACCCCCCGCUGCAACUCCACCUCUCGCCGUCCCCCUCUGCCCCUUCCCCCUCCCCCCGCCUUCCCUCUCUCCCCCGCCGUCCCCCUCCCCCCCCCGCAGCCCCCUCUGCCCCUCCCCCUUCCCUCUCUCCCCUGCCGUCCCCUCCCUGCCUUCCCCCUCCCCCCGCCGCCCUCUCUACCCAUCUUCCUCCCCGCAGCCCCCUCUGCCUCCCCCGCCUCCUCUCUCCCCUGCCGUCCCCUCUGCCGGCCUCCCCCCGCCGCCUCUCUCUCCCCCAUCUUCCCUCCCGCAGCCCCCUGCCCCUCCCCCGCCUUCCCUCUCUCCCCACAUUCCCCUCCCCCGCAGCCUCUCUCUCCCCCCGCCUUCCCCCCCGCAGCCCCCCUCUGCCCCUCCUCCCGCCUUCCCUCUCUCCCCGCCGGUCCCCCUCCCUGCCCCUUCCCCCUCCCCGCCGCCUCUCUCUCCCCAUCUUCCCCCGCAGCCCCCUCUGCCCCUUCCCCCCCUCUGCUUCCCUCUCUCCCCCGCCGCCCCUUCCCCUUCCCCUCCCCCUCUGCCCCCCCGUCCCUUCCCCUCCCCCCUCUGCCUCUUGGUCGCCCCUCUCUGUGCCAGACGUAAGAGAGAAAAAAAAAAAAGACAAGGAGGAUGAUGGCAGGGGAGGAAGAGGGGGAGAGGGAAAAAAAUGGGGAAAAAAAAAAAGACCGGCAUCGGGACCGGAAAUUGGUGACGGAGCCGGCAAUGGAGGUGGUAGUGAGGGAGGAAGAAGAAGAAAAGAGGAAGGGAAUUUUUUUUUUUUUUGUUGUGUUUUGGAUAUUUUAAGUGUGUAGGUUAAAAACUUUGAUAAGUUUAUUGGGGUUCCUGUAGCAAAAGUUGUUAAAAAACUAGUUUUAUACAAACUUGGUAAAAAACCAAGCUUCCAAACAGGCCCAUCAUCAUUACAAUUUUCAAUACACCUUUUUAUCUUCCCAAUUAUCUUUUUAUCUCACAUACAUCACGUCAUAAAAAGUGCUACAGUAAAAAUAUCCCAAAUAACUUACAAUCCAAACAAACCCUAUGAUUAGAAUUUAGUUGGGCAGGCCGAAUGCAAACUAUUUUAUGCGUGAUGUGAAACUUGCGUCUUUUUUCCUCGAAAUCUCGUGUAACCAGCUGCUGAAACGUACACUUUUUCAAUGGGGAUGGUUAGCGUUCAUUCUUCCUUUAAGAAUGAGAAUUCAGCUAUAAUUUUCACCACUUUAUAUGUACCAUUUUUUACUUUUUUAUGUUUAAUACCACUAUAUCCAUUACAUGCUUCAGUCUCCAUCUGGAAGGUGUGGCGAAUUUUAUGUGCGAGAAAAUACUCACAAAGAAUAAGGGGAAAAGAAGAUCUCUUUUUGAAAUGCAUGCUCUCUAUCAAACAGGCCCAACUAAACUAUUCACUUGGUUGAGUCGUUCCAAUGCACAUGCGUCAAGAAUUCAUCUACUUUCUUUGUUGAACUCAAACAAUUUGUGAUACAAUGCAAUUAGUGCAUGUUGUAAUUCAGGAAUCGACAAGCGUAAAACGUUAACAUUUGAAAAUUAAACAGAAGAAUAAGUAAGUUUGGCCCUUCAUUAGAUCAAAGAGUGUGGCUCUCUCAUGAAUUCCGUCCCUUUAGACAACUAAUAUCCGCGCACAAAUAGGUCUUCUUUUUUCGCUGGUGGUGGUGGUGGGGUUUGUUUCACGUACGGAACAGAAAGAUCGAAGUAUUAUUUCAACACCUUAUUAACUGGUAUACAUGGUCGAUCCUUCAGCCCAGAGGUCAGACAAGUUGAACAUCAUUAUCCUCAUUUAUAACACAUGGAAAGUAGCUUCAGCCUCCUUUGUUUUUCUUCACUUAUACAGUGUCCAAUUCUGGUAGCAGUUGUGGUAAUUUAAUUCUUCUUGAUUUUCUCUGUACUUCUUCCAUCCCAUACUGUCGCCCCCCCAAAUCGAAAUUUAACACAAUCAUGUCGAUCAAUCAUAAAAUUACGAAGUGCUAGAAAAGCCCUUGGCAUUGGUUGGCUUUUAACCUAUUUUUCGCAACUCAAGUAGUAGCAACUAGCAACUAAAUUUUUAGUAUAAAUGCCAGGCUAGCCCAUAGAGCAUCCCAUUGGUUAGGAUCUCCCAAGUCAUUGGCAACCUACAAACUGUUAAAGAUGAACGGUUGCUCCUCUAAUUCAUCAAAUGGUCUAACCAACAAAAGGUAAACUCACUACUUAUAAUCUGUUCGUCAUCUGGUCCAGACUUCACUUCUUUCUUUUAAUUUCCCAAUUAAUUAAUUCAGGUAACUAACUAUCGUAUGGAAAUUGGAAACCACUCCUCCGUCCCAAAAACGGAUGCAGAUUAGAAGGCAAAGUUGCCAUUAUCACUGGUGGUGCAAGCGGCUUCGGUGAAAGCACCGUGCGACUUUUCGUACAGCACGGGGCAAGAGUAAUCAUUGCUGACGUUCAGGAUGACUUGGGACACUCCCUCCGUGAAGAACUCAGUUCUUCUGGAGAUGUUACCUUCGUCCAUUGUGAUGUUACUAAAGACAUUGACGUUAAAAAUCUGGUUGAUCUCGCCAUGUCCCAGUAUGGCAAGCUGGAUAUAAUGUACAACAAUGCCGGGAUCCCCGGAAACUUAGAUUUCACCAUUGUAGAUGCAGAUAAUGAAAACUUCAAAAGGGUUUUCGACGUGAACGUUUACGGUGCAUUCUUGGGAGCCAAAUAUGCUGCAAAGGUUAUGAUCCCAGCUAAGAAGGGGGUGAUCCUCUUUACUUCCAGUCUUGCUUCGGUUUCUUGCGGGGAGUCACCGCAUUCUUACACCGUGUCGAAGCACGCUGUCGUGGGGCUUACCAAGAACCUGUGCGUGGAGCUAGGGCAAUACGGCAUCAGAGUUAAUUGCAUAUCUCCUUGCGCCGUGGCCACUCCAUUGCUGAGAAAUGCGAUGGGGUUGGACCAGAAAGCUGUGGAAGGGAUCAUUUGUGCGUCGGCCAACUUGAAAGGCGUGGUGCCCACCGCUGAGGACGUUGCCGAGGCAGCGUUGUACCUGUCUAGCGAUGCGGCCAAGUUUGUAAGUGGAUUGAACCUGGUGGUGGAUGGAGGUUAUAGCGCCACCAAUCAAUCGUACAUGACGAUUAUAAAAAGUUUGAUGCCUUGAGGUGUAUUUGUGGUCGCCUUUCAUCCUUUGUUAGCCAAUAGUAUGGCAGUUUAGUCCUCUUAGUUACAUACUAUUUAUUUGUUUUUUGGUCCUAAAUGAAACUAUUAAUUAGUACUCGUAUUUGUUUUUCAGUUCUUGAAGAAGUCCAGAUCUCUGUAAUCUGCAUUUUCGAGAUGGUUAAUUCCCUUUUCUUCUUCGAAGAGCGUCAUGUUGUAAUCUAGUCCCAACUAUCAUUAAACACAAGUCACUUGGAUUAAUUAAACUUACUAAAUCAGUCAGUCUUACGUGCGCUUAUCCAAAGUAUGAUGCCCCCUGUGCUUUUUUCUUGCUACAUUCCUUCCAGCAACCAAAUGUGCCAGGUUAUCUCCCCCUUUUCGUAAUUUUAUUUCUCGCAAAUAGCAAAAAUAUUCAGUUGGAUCUGAGUAGUGUAUGUCCGCUAUCCAAUUGAUUUAAUCGCCCUCUCUUUAUUUCUCCGCAGGUGCAUUUCCGGUCCAGCCAUUUCCAACUAUAUAGUACAUACUCCUUGGCCGGCCCGUUUCGAUUAUAUAGCAAUUUGAUGUAUGCGAGGAAAAAAGGUAAUAGAAAAAUGUGAUCACGAAAAAACGACGCAAUUUUCUGACAGAAAAUGGCAAUCCAAACACAGCUGGCUUCACGGUUUCAACUUUCAACUAUUUUAUCGCAUCAGUUGCCCCAUUCUCCGGCUUUCCUUCGACCAGGAUUAGUUCUUCAACUACCCGAUUAAUGGCGCUCCUCCCUUGUUGAAGUGAUAGGUUUUCACGUAAUGUUUACUGGUCAAGGUGUACCAACCGUGCUUGUGAAACCGUAGUAGAAGCUAUGCUGGAUAUGUGGAAAACUAAGGAGUGCAAGAUUUUCUUUCUUUCUUUCUCUUCUUUUUUUCUUUUUGGUUUUUGAACAAGAAAAAGUUGCAAGAGAGGAUAAAUGAGCAGCAACAUGGAAGUUGCGAUGUGGGGAAUUAUUAAGCAUUAACCCAUGCGAUCCAGUUGUCACUUUCCUCGAUUGUGAAACGAGUGUUGGGGAAUAUAUAUUUACUUAUUACUAGUGUUUUGUAACUCCACUCGAAGGUUUAUCCCUUCGUUCUUUCUGGAAAACAUUUAUGGCUCUUGAAUGCCAAGAGGAGUGGUGGUCCUGUUGGCAUUGACUUGUCCAGUCUUUACAUUCUUCAUUUACUUAUUUACGUUGACUUUACAUUCUUAGCAAGUUAGCUUAACGCUUUUAAACCUUUGGAUCGUGCGUGGCCUGUGGGAUAUGCAUUAUUGCAAGUGUCGGCAGGAUUAUAUUACUACUAGAUUCAUUUCAUCCAUUCCUUGCCGGUUUCUUUACUGACAUUUUCCGGAAUAAAUAUGACCCUUAAAUUCCAACUCGAUUGACAAAAAAAGUCAAGAAACAGAAAAGAGAAGGACCAGUUGCCCCUUAACAGCGAGUCAUUGCCAAAACAAAAGGAAAUCAUUGACAGCAAAUUAACCCGAAUGACUUCAGAAAGGAAAGAUCUGCAAGCCAAGAACUCGAGAAGGAACUAAAAGAUCCAGGGGGUAAUUUUAGAAGUGCAUUAUGUGGAAGAGGCAAAACGCUGAAACUAGUUAAUCAUGGGGACCAACACAAUUGCUAUUUCGCGAUACUGGUGUCUUACAGCAUCUGUUGUGACUCCUGUGUGACCAAAUACCAAGCUUACAUGUGUUCUGCAGCAAGAAAAAAUCUUCUUCAACUUGCUACGGACGUUACUUAGGCAGAAAACUACAUCGUGUUAGAAAAUAAAAGUGUCUGUACCUCGUGGAACAUUGGAGCCCACCAACGAUUAUUGGACCUUUCAACUGGCCAUGAAACAAAAAUUAUUUCACCUUCCAACGCAUAUCGCAACUAAUAGCAAGCCGCAACCUUUAUCCUAUUAGCCUGUGCAUCACUAUGUAAAUGUAGAAGUACGUAUGGACGUCUUCAUGUACGUACAAUUUAGGAGUUAGAAGACAUCUGCACUAACUAAAGAAGAGGUCUAGUGGGAGCCUGGAGAUGGCAACAUCUGAUUUGCCAAAUGGCCAUAUUUUCCAUAGAUAAGGCUAUAUAUCAUCUAUUGUUAUUUGAUUUUUCAUCUCCAGCACAGAAUAGCAACUGAAUUUAAUUCAGUUCACCGGUGCAGGCAGAGGCUGGAGGGUGAGGUUGCACUCAUAACUGGCGGGGGCAUGCGGUACUAUGAUUGCUCAAAAAUUCAGGCUGCGAGAAGCAAAAGGCAGAGGAAUAUGUUUGUGAGAUUGCAAAUUUGAAAGAGGCAGUUUUGGAGAUAAAUGAUACAGCAGAAGCAGCACUGUUUCUUGGAAGUGAUGAAUCCGAGUAUAUAAGUGGGAUGAAUCAUCAAUCUUGUGAUUGACGGUGGCUAUGGCACCAGCACCACCAAAGAAAAUGUUCCCUUGAUUAACUAUAUGCUUCUUCAUAAGAACUUGGUUUGCUCUGUGCUAAGUCUUUUUUUUUUUUUUUUUGUUAAGUGGGGAUACCCAUAUGGGUUUUAUCAUGCUAUACUACCUCCACCACAACCCAAAUAUUAAGAAAAAAAAAAAAAGAGAGAAAGGAUUCAGAAUUCCUUCUAAAUAACAUUUAUUUACCAGGUCUACACGAGUCUCUUGAAGCAGUAAUGCAUUCAGAAAGCAUUCAUUUAUCAACAACUGCCGAACUUGAGAAUAAUGAUGGGCGAAAGUCAUUCAUCUAUCAAUAGCUGCCAAACUUGAGAAUUGAGGGCCAAAGUCGGAUUUUUCCUACUCUAGGAUGAUAAAAGUGUAUCAUGCGCGGUCCAUACUCCAUACGUGUCUAUAAAUGUAACAAUUUCCUUUGCCAUUUGUAUUUGGAAGGUUUUGGGUCCUGUACAAAGUUACGUGCACAACCAAUUAUGGUCACACCGUACUAAAUGCAGCAGAGUCUCCAGUCCCCACUGCCUUUAAGGAACCAUCACUUACAAGUCUUGGCCUGUGAAAUGCGCCAUGCCAAGCCUUUUUUUUUUUUUCUUUAAAUUUUAUGAUUUUAUUUUAGAUAGUGACUGACAUACUAACAGUUGAGGCCUGUUUUUGUUUGAUAUGGGCAAGCAAAUGUGCAUUAAAUUAAAUAUCAUGUGAAUUCUACUUCUUUUCUUAUGUCCGAGCCCAACAUUCGGCCCACAUUAGGAAUUUUGAUAAAUUAAGCCCAUACUUAGAACUGGUCUACACACGUCCUGCUAUAAAGCUCACCAGGGCCGGGCCGGUGACAAGAAGUUGGGCCGCCCCUACCGUCCUACCCAACUCUUGUCCCAGUUUGGUCACUUCAGCUACCCACAUCCACUCGUAUAAAACCUCCAUCCACCGCUUCCCCAAACCCUAGUCUCAGCACCUCUCCCAUUUCCUCCGGCUCUCCGCAGCUUCGCUCGCCCCCCCCGCACCCCCUUCCCUCGCCGCCCGGGCUGCAAAAAACAAGCCAACCAAGAAAUGGGUCGCGUCCGCACCAAGACAGUGAAGAAGUCCUCCCGCCAAGUCAUCGAGCGGUACUACUCCAAGUUGACGCUGGACUUCCAUACCAACAAGAAAGUCCUCGGCGAAGUCGCCAUCAUCCCGUCAAAAAGGCUCCGAAACAAGAUCGCCGGGUUCUCCACCCAUCUCAUGAAACGGAUCCAAAAGGGCCCAGUUAGGGGUAUUUCGCUCAAGCUUCAAGAGGAGGAGAGAGAGCGCCGCAUGGACUUCGUUCCUGAAGAAUCCGCGAUCAAGACCGACAGGAUUGAGGUCGAUAAGGAGACCAUUGAGUUGCUUGCCGUCAUGGGUAUGAACGAAUUGCCCGGUAUUGUCCUCAAGGAGGAGCAGUCUCCUCUCAUGGUUGCUCCGCCUUUGGCUUAUGGCGCUGGUGGCCGCGGUAGGAGGUACUAGACAGGUUUUGUCGUGGAUCAAUGUACUUCUUUUUUAAUUUGUUUUGGACUUUAAUUCAAGAGGUAUUUAGACUUGUUUACUGUUGUUAUUAUUAAGUGGUUUAAUUUUGAGUUUAAAUGUGUUUGGAACAUUUUUUGGGAAUUGCUAUGUUGGAUUUUUCUUACACAAAGAAGUAUUUAUCGGCUAUAAUGCCCCCCCCCCCCAAAAACUUUUUUUCCCUCUAAUUAUUGGUUGUGGUUGAUGAUGGACGGAUAAAGCAAAGCAACCUUUGGAGUGUUUUAUUUUGGCUGUCAUUUUGUUUGUUGGUUACUAUUCAGUUGGCCGAAUAGCAAAUCUCUGGGCGAGCAGAGACAUUAGGGGUACGUUCUUCCAUUUGGUUAUUAUUAGGAUUAUAGUGUUGGAAUUCCUUGUGCUAUUUGUAUGAGCUGUGUUGAGUUCUGGAUGAUCUCCAGAUUAAACAUCUAAUAUUGGUACUGAAUAUGAAACGACUUUGAAGCGGCAUUGGCAUGCAUGCGCGCGUAUUUGAGACUUUGGGAAGCUUAUGUUUAGAAGUCUACCCAUGCUUUUAUUCUCGUCUGUUUCCUGAAAUUGAUUUGUGCUACGGAGAGUUCAUGGAGUAGGGUUGGUGAUGAACACUGAAACAGAGACUGACAUCUGCUUGGCAGGGAUCUCUUUAGUUAUUUUUUCCCCUUGUCAACGGGUGCAUGUUUCGUUUUGGAUCGUACUUCAAGAGUUAUAAUGGCAUGCAGCAGCUUCUUUGUGGGAUCUGAAAAGUAUGUUAUCGACGUCCUCUAGUGUCUUCUAAGUUAUCAAGGUCCCCGAAUUUUAUGGUGGGACAUUUUACAUACCGCACAGAUAUUUAUUCAUUCUACUGUGAGGGCUUUUUGCAAUUAGUUACGAAUCCAUAGGUCUGAUCAACAAAAUUGCAGUAUGAUAUAUAACUUGGUGUGUGUGGGGUGUCAUUGAACAGAUUAAUCACUUGAGUUAGCAAGACCAACCAAGUUCAACAUAUGGCGAUCCUCCUUGAAUCUCUCCAACACAGUACCUCUAAUGGCUUCUGAUCUUUCCUGUUGAGCUCCCUUUGGCACUAUGCCCCAGCAUUCUAUCACUUCCGGGUAUAUAUAGUUGGUCUUGGAUAAGCAAGGGCUACCAAAAGUCGUGCACUCAAAUGUAUGCCCCUUGUCAAAGUUAGCUGAAAUGAACAGGCCAAAAUGAUUUACUCGCCCUCCAAAACCAAUUCCAUUGGGGAUGCUUUCCGAACUGAAAUUCACAGCACACUGCAAACAAAUAGAAAUAAAAAACCAUUUCAGUGACAUUGUACUGGAUACCGCAAUGAAGCUAAAUUACGGUACGUAUCAUUUUGGCUGUCAAAGAAUAUGAACGCAAGUACGAAUGUGAAUUACUACGUCCGGUUUGUAAUUUAGAAAGAAAAAAAAAAAAAGAAACAAGGUAUCUUUCUCAGCUGACCAAACCAGAAUGGGUGAACGGUAGUCUGUACAUGCUACAACUGGUGUUUUUCUCAUCUUAUGACUCUGAUUAUCACAACUAAACAGUAGAAGUAUAUCUACAAAAACUAUUUUUCAUAAUUCGGAUAGCUUAUAGUCACAUCUUCUUAAGGACUGGGAUCCCAUCUGAGAAGAUUAUUCAAACUUGAGGGUCACUGAAGCAUUCUGUAUACUGGUUCUAUAGUCCAGCAACUUACCCAUUGCAUGUUGUGAUUUGCACCACUAGGCCGGAAGAUUGAAGCCUUUGGAUAUAGCUGGAAAAGGAAAGACUUAAGGUCCCCAUAAAAAUCACCAUGCUUUUCCCAUGGCUGAGAAGCAUAACCUCCAUAGAUAUAUCCUUCUCUAUCCUUGAUAACCAAAACACUUGGUCCAUCAUCUCUGCAGUUCAACUUAACAGUUAUCCAGUCUAUCCUACUCGAGAAAUAUUAUCAAAUAUUUAGAUAAAAAUUUGAAACAGAUAUCUAGAUAUUAUCAAAUAUCUAGAUACAAAUUUAGAUACAAAUUUGGUCAGAUACUUUUUGUUUUAAGGUUGUGAUUAGUGAAGGAAUAUGCUGUAGUACAUCAAAGAACUCAAAAUGCUGGCAGUAUAACAUGACAAAAGCAUCAAAGUGGUCCAAAAAACAAGGGUCACAAAAAAAGUUAAAAUGUCCUAAUUUAAUUAAGAAGCCCUAAUAUUCGCCUUUAUGAAGGUCAGGAAAGAAAAGGCCUCGAAGAACAUACGAAUGCAAAACACACGGCUAUAUUUUGAAGGAUUUUUAGGGCAGGGUGGUCCUGUGUGAGUCUCAAAUUAGUUGUUCCAGUAGAUUUAACAACAAUUAAAGUAAUUUCACUGUUUCAACUUUUCCUACAAUUAACAGACCUCUCUGAUUGAGCUAUGUUCUUUUGGAGUUGAGUUAUGGAUACUUGGCUAACCCAAGCAAACUACCCUACCAAGCAGUAUGGCUCGACUGGAUUAAUCUGUAAAUAACUGAAGGAGAUCAACUAAACAUUAAUCAAAUAAGAGAAUAAGUGAUAUCUUGCUACCUACAUCACACAGUAGUAAGAUUGGAUUAAUGUUCAACUCAACCAAUACAAAAUGACUACAAAAUGAUCUACCCUGACAUCAACUUCUGGUCAAAACCAUCAUGGACCUAGCAGCCAGUCAAAACAAUAGCAGAUGGUUUUGAAGAACAUGAGGCCAACCCUAAGUUGGAAGCUUGACAUGGUAACAAAAAUCUGUUUCACUAGUUUUUCUUCUCAGCUGCCUACAUAUCAUAGCACAAGACAGCCUUGGACAUACUACUAACAAAAAUGGAAAAAGGAGCUUCUCACCAACUAUAUCUGCCUCAACUGAAGGUGGCCUCCCUCUUCUUAUCGAGGAAAAACAGAUAACAGCUGGGGGCUGAAAAAGUGGAUCCUUUGAUUCAAACUUACACUAAUAAGAAGCCAGAACACUUGCACUGACCAUUAUUUUCCCACUAAAACUCAUCUUACCAUUGAUAUGUUUUACAAUACUGCCGUACAUACUAAAUGUUCAGAAAUCAUAUUAGAUAUCUUUACAAGCAACCAAGUUGAUUACAGCAUAAGUGAUCUCACAAGAAGAGUCAACAGUUGGUGAGGAAUAAGGUUGAAAUAUAUCAAGAUUAGUUUCAGAAACAACUUCAUUGACAUAUAUAUAAUAUACCUCAUAUUUACUCAUUCUAAAAUACCAUUUUCUUAUUCAUAAUGCAAAACCUAUUAGCUGACCUGCACACCUUAACAAACAAGAAUCAGAAAAGCCAAAUUAUAUAUAUCAAUGCAAAAUGAUUAUUGAUAUCUGAUUAUUUUCUGUCACAUGAAAUCUAAAUCAAAAUACACAUUGCAUAUCAAAGUAUAUGUCCGAUAAACUUGCAAGGUUUUGCUCGAAAAGUGUGACCCAAAAAUUUUUAGUUAUAGGAGUAAUGUAUAACGAAACACGGAUAAAAAAUUGAAUAAGCUAACCGAAAGGGGCAGAUAUGACUAUAUGGAAUAAGCACUUACGACAUUUUCCCAAGGAAUGUGUUGAAACUUUGACCAUGAACUGCACUAUGAUACAGAAGUUUCCAUUCACUCAGUUCAUGGGAAAGUGCUCCUCCAAUAAGCCAAGCAUACUGCUCUCUCAUCAAGACUAGAUUGGGGUCAAUACUUUCUCCAUCUACCAGCUUGGGAACUUGAGAACCUAUGGAAAGAAACAAUAAAUCCAUAUGCAUCACGAAUAAAACAAACUAUUUUAAAUUGCAUAUUUCCCUAAAAUUGCAUAUGCAUCAGCAUAACUAUCAAGUAUAAAAUGUUCUUUACAUCCAUAUUCACAUGCAUUUGUGUACUAUCAUAUUUUUUCCAGCAAUUUCAAAAUAGUCUAUGAAAGAGAAAUGGAAGAAACAUAGUGACCAAAACAUAGAUUGCAAUGUGAUCUAGCCAAUGGCAAUUAGUUGUGAUAAGACUGGCCAAAAAUUGGUGAUUCAAUAAAUAAAUGCCCAACUCAUUUACUGAUCAAUAUUGGGCUAGCUGAGUAGCCAUUUACUUUGUUGCUAGGCUAGACCAAGUUAGAAGUCCCUUGCCGGCUAUACGUCCAAAUAAACUUUAAAUGGCCCCAGGUGAACAUUUUUUCUACCUUCCAGCAAUGCAACAUCUUAGAACUAUGUGUCAAUCAUGGUUCCUAAAAAACCUAAAUAGCCUUUAAGAAUAAAACCUUUUACAGAGAAAUCACCACAUUCUCCAUUUUUUCCAUUUUUUGAAAUACAAGUUUUUCAUUUACAAUGCUAUAGUAAUAAACAACAAAAACAACUCCAAAAACACCACUUUCAUACAGUAUAUUAAAAAUAAUUCCAAAAAUACAAAAAAUUAAAAUAAAAUAAAAUCUACACCAUUUUCUUCUUCCAUCUAUCACCACCACCACUGCCACCAUCCUCUCCUUCCUCCUCCUCCCUCUCUUUCCCUCUCUAUCCUCGCUCCGCUCCCUCUUUCUCCUCCUCGUCUUUCCCCCUUUCCUCCCCUUGCUCUCCCCUUUCCCGCCACAUCCACCCCUCCCCUCCCUUCCCUCUCCAAUCUAGCUGCGACCAGAGCCUCGAUUUGGCCGAGGGGGGAGGAAAGGGUGGGAUGUGGCGGGAAAGGGAAAAGGGAGGAUGAAGGACGAGGAAGAGGAAGAAAGAGAGGGAGGAGGAAGAGAGAAGGGUAGUGGUUGUGGUUGUGGUGGGUGGUAGUGUUAAUUUUUUCAAAAUAUCCUAAAAAUUUUUAUCCUUUAAAAAUCCUCCAAAAUACAUCCCAAAAGCACCUUAAAAAACACCACUAAAAAUAUCUACAGUAAAAGUUUUUCAUAUACAUUGCUACAGUAAAAUAUUUCAAAAACACCCCCAAAACAGCUAAUUCAAAUGUAGCCAUGGUUGUUUCAAAUUUUCUAUUUCUCACAAUUCUCAGAUUAGACAAAGUUUUCAAGAUGCAAAUAGUGUGGAUUAAUAGUUAUGCACCAUUCAAUUUUGAUGGGUAAAAGACAAAAUCAACACCAUAAAAAUAAAUGCCAACAUUUAACAAGUCAAUGAGCUUCUCUAAUUAGCUCAUGAUAACUGGACGCCAUCCAACUACAAGUUUAAAAAAUUAGCUCAAGAAGAUAAAGACAGAUGUGUAAUAACCUGAAUCAGGUGGCAUCAAUAAGCUUCCAAGGAACUUCCUGACAGAUGGAAGAAGGGCACACCACCUUCUGAAAUCCUCAAAAGACAAACUACUUUCAGCUUUGUCACUAUCAUCCUUCUUAAAAUUUGCAGCAUUGAGAAAAAUAUCAACACAUUCUUGUUCUGAGCCUGAUCUUGAUUCAGAGCAGUUCUCAGAACAUAUAGAAUUCAGCAUGGUAGCUAAAACACGCUCGACAUCAGACCUGUCAGUUGAGUCUCAAGAUUAAGAGAACAUAUUAGGAAAGAAAACAAAAAAGACAAGGCAACCAAGUGUUUAACAUGAAAGCCGUUGAUUUAUGCACUUCCAGUCCUAGAGAUCUUAAAAUAAAGCUAUGAUGCUGUCCCUAAGUACAUACUUGAGGUUUAAAGACGUGAAUUGUGAAGCCCUGACAGAAAAUUUAAUAGAAAAAACCUUAAACUGUGUAGGCUUAAUCAAUCCCUUCACAGAUAUUGCUGAUUUUGAAAUUUUAGCCUGCACUAGCUCAUUAUAUGUUUAGGGACAUGGGACCUCACCAGACAGAGAGGUGAAAAGGAAUAUUGUCCUUUGGAACUUGUGAUGUCAUUGACAGAAAAAAAAAAAAAAGAGCAAACGAUUCUGUAAACACGUCCUGGCCAACUCGUUAUGUCAUGAUACCCAUCCUGUCAGUGCUAUUCAUAACAUCAAAAAGUUUUCAAGAUUCAUUGAAACAUAACAAAUCAAACAUUGGCAGGAAAGCAAUAGAGGCUGGAGAAUUUACACAAUAUUUAAACCAACUUGAGUUUUCCUUCUCUAUUAUGCCUAAAAAGAAAUUAAGUUCAUUGCUUCAAGAGUCGUGGUAAAACCAGAUCGUUGGUUUAUACAACUUGAGAGAGUUGUUCUCUAUAUUUUCUGCGAAUCAAUUCUGACCAACAAUUACAACCGAGAGAAAGCUACUUACAAUUCAUUUUUAUUAAAUCUGAGACAAACUCACACUGACACAUGAUAUGAUUUAUUUACUACACUUGCAAGCUUUAGUAUAGGAACCAGCAAAAGAAGAGAAAAGAUGAGAGAAAGACUUCCAUUACGAAGGAUGAAAAAGUUUAAUCUUCUACCUUCCAACAACACCAUCACCAUAGACAUCUAAUAGUUGAUAAAUGAACUCUUCAAUAUCAUCUUUUGUCCCUUUCUCAUAAGUACCCUGCAAUAGGCAAGUAUGAAGCCUGUACUAAAAAUUUAAAGCAUCUAAAAUAUGUCAUUGUCAUAGUUAAUACUCUCUGUUACCAUGUCUGAGAAUUGACAGUUUGAAGGUGAUCUUUUCUAACUCAAAUAAAGAAUCUAGGAACGCUAUGCAUUACUAGCCACCCGUGUUCCUAUUAAAUUCAUCUACUAUAAUUUAUAUCCGUGGUAAUUUCAUCCAUAUAUUUGUAAAAAUUAUUGUAAAUGAACAGGCUAUUCAAAUUAUAAUGAUGUUGGAGUUGCGAAUGUAAAUGAGGCUGACUGAACCACACACUACAGUGACAAUAUUGUUUUGAUUCUUUUAACACAUUUAAAAACUUGUUAGCUCGGCUUAACAAAAGAGCCAAGCCCAAGUAGCUUCAUAUGUGUAUAUGUAAAAUAGAGCUUUGUGCUUAAGAAGCCAAGCUCGAGUGAGGAUCAGAAGUUAAUCGAAAUGGAAUCUUGCUCAGGGGGCCUUGGUUUGGUUAAGUGAUCUCUUAUACACUCGAGUUCCACUCAUAGUAAUGAGUAGCCUCCUAAGCCUAUCAAGCAAAGUCAUACUGUUAAAAGCUAUAAUUAAAGAAUGAAAGAGUAAGAAACAACUUACUUUGGCAAUGACGAGGUCUUGGAAGGUUAGCUUUUGAUCCUUGCGUUUCUGCGUAACCAAAUCGAACAUUCUAUCUCCUAAAGGUCCUCCAGCUCCUAUGUACUCCUGGAAAGCGUAAAACUCCAUAUAAAAAAUUAAAAUGGAAAUAAAGGGAAAGAGAAAUUGUCAUGGAUUUGGGAAAUUUCCAAAAAAACAGGAACCUUGAAAACCGGUGGAGUAAUGUAGUGAGGAUUGUCGCUUUGGGAUUUGGCAGCAAGAGAUACGAAUAGGGAUUUGAGGUCUUCCAGUUCCUUCUGCGUGAAUGCUCUGCAAAAUUUAAUCAAUUCAACAAAAAGAGGUUCUUUUUUGCCCUUUUUUUUUGUAUUCACUAUUUAGGCGCGUUUCAAGUUCAGAACCAACGACCCAUUACAACGUAUAAACAAUUUAACAGAGAAAGAAACCUGCAAGCGGAUUUGAAGCGAGGAUCAGCAGAAGAGGACGAUGAUGAUGAUUCUGAGUUGCCCAUAAUGGGUUUCUGCUCUGCUUUUUCAACAGUAUUAUUGGCAAUUCUUAUUCUUCUUUAUUUCUUUCUCUGAAAAUCAAUUAGAGAUGGCUGGGUAGAAGAAUAACAAACACUUCGGCUUAACUGAUCUCAGCAUCCCGCAAUCAUAAGAGGCUCCAACAACUGUUUUACUUGUCUUUACACACAAAAACAAAAAAAAAAUGACUUGCCGCUUCGCGCCUUCUAGGGACAAAAUUGAUUUUCUCCUUGUUUUUCUUCUUUUGCGAUUGGGUCACCACCAGGGACAAGUGACAACUGUGACCUCCACUUGUCUUCAGUUACUCUUCAGCAUCUGGAUUUGUUUCCCCUGACCUGGAGAUAAAUUAAUGGGUAGUCCAGCGAAAAAAUAAUAAUAAUUACUAAUAACUAUGAUGAUAAUAAUCAAUCGCGAAGUAAUGAAUUACUUGGAAAGGUUUUUUUUUUUUUUUUUAAAUAUCACGAACACGACUUCUAGUAUCUUUUUUUUCAAAAUAUUUUAGUUGCAUUAUAAACACGUUUCUCGAUCACAUUUUUAUCUGACCAACACACAUUUUGUGUUUCUUAUAUAUUAUAUUAAAAAAAUAUUAUAGUAUUAUUCUCCCAAAACAAUUUCAAAUAAUCUUCGAUCCAAACACAUUAGUUUAGCUUGGCAUGCAAUUUUACACAACAAUGUUUUGGGAUAGAAUUAGGGCAAACCAAAAAAACUAAUAGUGAUGAUGUGUGAUAGUUCCCUUUACAACGUCAUAUCUUAAGGUAAAAUAAGGAUUUUUAACUCUUAAAUUAUAAUAAUUUUAAAACAUAUACCCGUUUAAAUGACAUCACAGAUCAUUUUUCCAAAAAAAAAAAAUGUGACAUGGAGCGAAAAUAAUUGAGGGAAUGAUUGGCUAUGAAAACAACCAUAGAAAUUUUCGGUGGUUUAAUGGUAUACAUAAAAAUACUUAUCUAUACAAUAUAUAAAGUCAAAACAUGAUAGUUGGUGUAAUUUUUUUUGUCAUUUCUGAAUUUCCAAAUUUAUUGUUAUAGAAAUUAAUUUUUGUCUUAAUUACCUAAUCAUAUUUUACCAACAUAACUAUUCAUAGCCACUCUAAAUAUUGUAAUUACCAAAUCACUAUAACAUUAUAAAUCAAAGUUCUUUAAUAAAUUUAUAUAGAUUGUAUUUAUGUGAAAACCAAAAUUUAUAUAAUAUUAAUUCAUUUUUAUUUUUUUAAAAAUGUACAUGCAUUGAGUGUCUCCUUAGCAAUAGUUCGUAAAAUGUAGAAGUACAUGCCUAAUUGUUUGAAUAUAAUAUACAUUGUUUUGUUAAUUUCAAAAUACGCCCUUCAAAUAUAUGUCAAUUCCCACUUUAGUUCUUAAACUAUAAAUCCCUUUCCACUUAAGGACAAUUAUCAAUGGAAUCUACCAAACUAAUGAAAUACUAGUCAAGUGAACAAAAAAUUAAAUAAAUAAAUAACAAAAAAUUGUAAAAUUAGGGAGAAGAAAAGAGUUUAGGACUAAAUUGAGAAUUGUGGUAUAACUUACGACUAAAGUAUUUCAAUUUAGAGUUUAGGGACUAAAGUGAGAAUCAAAGUGUAAUUUAGGGAUUGAAGUGUUCCAAUUUAGAAUUCAGGGACCAAAACAAAAACAUAUAUAGUUGAAGGGCGUAAAAUAGGAUUAACCGUAAAUGGAUUAAUUACUGGAAUCAAUUUCGUGCGUAAAUAUUCGGUCACAAAUAAAUUAACCGUUUACGAACAGUCCCUGAUAAAUCACUGGAAUCAAUUUCGUGCCUAGAUAUUCAGUCCCGAAUUCCGCAGCGGAAUGCUUCUCAUCACUUCCCGAAUAGAGGGAGCUAAAUUCUAUCACCAAAAGAAGAAAUUAAAAACAAGAAACGGUAGAAGACAGGAGCGUAUAAGUAAUCAGAAACACUGAAAAUAACAUCAUCAAGACAUAAAGCAGGGUACAUGAGAGGCGGACCAACAGUCAAGAGAGACAAUGCAGAGACCUACUGUGGUUAUAGUGUUGUUGAUGAUGAUAGUGCUGACUUCUAGGAUUGAGCUGAAACCUCGUACUCUUGUUCAACCAGAAGUUGCAGCAGGAGCAGCAGCCACAGCAACCCAUCUUCACGGAUUCUCGGAUCCUCAACAAUCUCUCAAAGAAAAAGUCAGAGCCUUUUUAGUCUUCUAUGUUCUCAUUUCUCCUUUCGCUUUUUUAUUUAAUAAAUUAACAUAUAAAUGGUCUCUCACUAUUACUCUUAUUGGAGUUCUACAGCAUCAUCAGAUCUCUGCAGUAUAUCAUCCAAUCAUUGCUCCUUGCUAUUGAAAUUUCUCUUUAAUUUUUCAAGUUCAUUUACUUUUCUUUUCCCAAUUGAGAAAAGAUCCCAUUUUUUUCUCUUUUUCUUCCAUUUGUUUUUCUUUCAACUUUAGGAACGAUAAAGUGUAGAAAAUAUUUUGUGCUGCCAAUUUUUAAUCCAACAAUGUCAGGGAUAGAAUUUUAGGUAACUAUUUUGGGCAGUAUGCAGCUUUAGGAUCAUUUAUGCCAUAGAAAAUUCUAUAUUUUGCUAGUCCAAUUUCGGUAAUACUAUAUAGGGUAGGAUGAAAGAAGGUAUUGAUUAAUUUUAGUGGAUGCUAUUUCAGGUGUGUCAAGUAGAUGCUUUUGGUAGUAUCCUCCCAAAUUUCUAGUGGAGCUAAUUCAGCUUAGUUGCAGCUCCUUGGUCUCUUUGUAACUAGCCACCUGGAGUCCAACAGCAUACUAAAACUUUUGGCUUAAUUUGUUUGCUGACAUAUAUCUCUAGUGGUUAUUUAUUUAGCUUGUCAACCCCAUGGAACAUGACCAAAUUCGUUACAAAAGGGUUUCAGUAAUUAGAUGAGCCUCCUAAUACCAAUGGAUCAAAAGGAAUAAUCAUUACUGGUCCUCUAUGUUGCUCUAUAAAAUUAUGUCUUGUGAGUUCAUUUUGUUUGCAUUAGUUUAGUCACCAGGGGAAAAAGGAAGGGAUUCAUCAGUUUGUUCCUUCUUGCUAAGGUGACUGAUGUGAUUUCAUUAGUGUACUUCACUAUAAUGGGGAUAUUAGCUGUAUGAAGAUGUCCAAAUGUAAAUCCCUACCCAAACUCUUCCUUCCAGUCUAUCCAUCACGCACUGUUGAUUAUCUUGGAUGCUACUUGAUCACACAUCUGGUUUAUUAGGGAUCUACCUUACCAUUGUGGUCAUUUUUAGGAUAGGAAGCGUCAUUUGUUGUUUUAUAACCAUAAAUUGUCAAAGAGCUGCAUCCAAUGAGUUCAAAAGUGUGUAAAUGCAGGAAGUAGGAAGCAAGAUAUUCUCCCUUACAUGGUAGUUGCAAGUGCAUGUGAUUUUUUUCUCUUGUUUCCUUUUGUCUUUUAAGGAAUUACGGAGAAAUGCAUUAUUAUUCUUGUUUCAAGAUUUCUUGUUUCUUUGUGCUUCAUCUGCGCUGCUUUAAACUUGCCCUUUGUUACAGUUUGGUCAGGCUAAGAUCCUAUAUUUUGACAGUGCACAAUACUGGUUAAGCUAACCAUUUAGACAGAUUAGGACUUUAUCGUUCAGCUUAAUUUUUCUCUCCAUGCAGCUUUAACAUCGUCGAAUCUCAUACAUGUGCAAAAUGGAUGCAGAUUAUUCUGUCUCAAGAGCAGAGCAUUCAGAAGUUAAAUGAGCUGGUUCAAACUCUUAAGCAACAGUUAGAAUUCUGCAGGGCAGUGAGUAGGAAUGCUGUAAAUGACACAGGGACCUCUGUGUCUCAACAUCUGAAUGAGAUAGAGCAUCCAUGAAUUAUAGUGGACAAAUCUGUUCUGUCAGUUUGCUUUAUAUGUGAAAAUGGGUAAACUUAUACUUGUUUUUUUUUUCUUGGCACAAGUGUAUAUUUUGAUUGUAUUUAUCCGUUCUUCAUGCUUUCCUCAACUUUCAAACGGUAUACUUCGGUAUAUAGUCACUUGUCAUCAUGAGUCAUUGCAUUGUGUUCUAUCCUUUGGUGGGUAUUGUUUAUAUGCAUUUACACUUCUUCUGGAGUAACUUGUACUCGCUGCAGUAAAAAUGAUGAUACAAGUAAACAAUUUGGUGCAAAGAACUUGCAAAAGGAAUUAUAGCAGCAACAACUAUAUAUGUCAAAAUAAAAAAGAGUAGAAUGUCAUGAUCUAUUUGAUCAACGCAUCAAUGGCUGUGUCGAUGGUUCAACAUCAAUGUUGAUA
rnacentral:lncRNA from 1 species